UUUUUACAUUUUAAGUUAAUUAGUAAUAGUCCUUAAAAAUAUGUUAUAACAUGUUGAACUUGCUGUUUGAGUACAUGCAAAUAAAAUGGCCUCUAAUCUUUCCAGAUCUUUGUAUUGCAUUAUUUGAUGGAACUGCGACAACGGGACUUGAUAGUUGGGGUCCUAUUGUGGAAGAGCUAGGACUAAAGAUAAAUCUUUGGACUUGGAGGUUGUUAGUCUUAAGGACAUUCCUUUCAGCACCCAAGGUCAAGGGUCUUCUAUUCCAUCUCCUAAAUCAUCAACUUUCGGUACGCAAUCUCAUGCUUUCGGUCCUAGCUUUGAGGGAGAAAGGCCAAAGAAAAAAGCUAGGCGUUCAUCAAAACAAACCUACAACACUAACCUAGAUGGAGAGAUGUCCAAGGCCUUGAAACUCAUUGUUGAAAAGAAUAGUGGACCUUUCGUAAAAGAAUACAAAGAUAAGUUGGAAGAACUUGGGUGGGGACCGGAAAAUCCACUACACAAGAUGACUCUUUGAAGCAUGGAUGAUUCUAAAAGAGAAUGAGGUUGAAAAUUGGGUUACGAUGGUUUCACGCAAGGUAGGAUACAUUGCUUAGUUUGUUGGAUAUUAGUUAAUUACAAACUUUUUAUUAUGUUGGUGGAUAUAUUUGGGGGCUAGGUAAUUUGAUAUUUUUGGGGACAAACUUCUUAUCUUUGGGGCUAGUUAAUUUGAUAUUUUUGGGAUACAAACUUGUCUAAGUUGGGGCUUAUUUGCUAGUUAUGGAUGUGACAUUUAAUGAAAAAUGUCAAGGGAUUGAAGAAAAAGGAAGGUCUAAAGGGAAAAAGAAGAAUGAAAUCACAAUAUGAGAUACGUACAAGAAUAGUUAGAAAAACCUCUAAUUCUAAUAUGAUAAUUUAAACUUUUAUAUAUAUGCGUGUACUUUACUUGAUUGCUUUUGUUAUGGAUGAUAGUUUCAACUUUUUUAUUUCUCAAACUUGCAGGAGGAUUGCUCGAGUCCACAUACAACACACAAUGUUCGUUUGCAAGAACCAAUUUUUAAUCUUAAUCUGGCGCCAAUUCAAGAAGUGGCAUGGAGCUAGAUCAUCUGUAUUUCACUAUUUUUGUUCGAUAGUAGCUUUAACUUUUUUUUUGCAGACAAUGUGUUAUUUGAGUUCUAUUGUUCUGCUGUGAAAAUGCCCGUUCUUGACUUGAAAGAUCUACUUGAAGGGAUAACAUGUUCUGUAGGUGGUGAAUCUUGUGUUUCUGGAUGUGUCAUGUGUGAAGACAGCAUGUAUAUGACUAGCUAUUUUUUCAUAUGAAGGCUUUUAUUUUUGUGUGCUUAUGAAGGCAUUGUUUAUUGUGUGUUUUGAUGUGCUAUUGCAUUUUGGUCUAUUGAUGUGCUAUUACAGGGCAUGUGUUUGUUUGUCUCCAAAGAUGGUUGGAUGAGAUAUGAUUUUGUAUAAAUUUAGGCUCAUAUAUAUUUAUUUUAUUCAAUCGAUACUUGUUUCUGUUCAAGUAAUUUUAUUUUUGGUAAUAUCAGUGUCUUAAUUUAACACUGUUAGAAAUUAUUUAUUGAUUGAAGCAAAAGAGGAGAUUAUUACUACUAUUCAACCUCUCUCAAUUAAACAUGGUCCAAGUUGAUGUGUUUGUGAUGGUAAGUAGUAGUAGUAGUACUAGCACUUUCUUGCUUUGGAUGAAUUGAAAUGGAAUGAUGAAAAGAGUCUCCAAGGCAUGAAUGAAUCCCUCCGAAGCUAGAAGAAUAAUAAUAGUUUGCAGAGUAUGAAAAACAACCUUUUAAUUAGGUAUGUUAUUCCUAAAUAACUUAUUUUUGAUAAUAAUGUUCAAAUAUUCCUUCCACCCAAAUCUCACUCCCAACCUUUUACACCCCCAACUACACAAUCUCCUCCUCUUUUGCUUUCAAUUCCUUGACCUUGGUUUGAAGACGUUGUCCCUCUAGUAUUUCAGCUCUGCUAUUCUCUCCUUGAUGUCAUCCAUUUCAGCUAUCUGAAGAAAUACAAUAGGAAAAUGUACCACAUUUAAAAUCCAAGUAGAAUACUUGAAAAAUGCCCAGAUAUCCAAAUCUGAGUCAGAAACAAACAAGAUCUAUUCAGUGUUGAAACCAUCCUCACCUUUUGGGUACCACCGGAUGCAUAAAGCUUUAACACUGCUCACAUCAACGAGUACAUGAGGGACAAGACUAGCCAAAUCUGGCAUAUACUUCUGCACAAGCACUUUUUUUUCAAGUAAAGGUUGUACAACUAAUUUAGGCAAAAAGAAAGAAUAAUGUUCAUUGCUCACAAAACUUCCUUCUCAAAAAUCGAAAUCAAAAAUACACAAUGGGUAAAUACGGAUAGAGUCUUAAAGUUUUUUUCCCCCUCAACAGAUGUUCAUAACAGAAGCUGAAUGCUCUUCAACAAGAACAAUGAUUGCUAAAUGCACAUAUUAUAUCAUAGAAUAAUAAUAUCUACCUAUUAUAUUCUAAAGAUUCCUAAUAUUAUUUGAUUUAAUAUGUAUGUAUAUAUAAUAUACAUAAACCUUUACAUAACUUCAGGAAUAAAAGAUCCACAUAGACUGAAUUUCCUGCAAGAAGAGGCGUAUGUGCGCCCACAUUUCUCUUAACAAAUUGCACAACCUACAAGAGUGCUAAAUAUGUUAAGGGAUAUGAUUAUAAGAGACCCAACUUCAAAGGACAAUUAAACUAUUAAAAUAUACAACAUUGAAAUACUAGAGACUAGAGUACAAUUCAAGUUUUCAACCACAUGGCUAAAAUGAAGUAUCAAAUAAGUAAUAAAUCACAGUCACGCUCUAACAUAGAAAAUGCAUCAUCCCCGUGUUCCCAGACAAAGAAUAAACCUAUGCCACAAGUAAUUUAAUUUAAUUUUUCUAGAUACUUCAUGUUAUGCCCCUCAAGAGAAUAAGCAACAGGUUAUAUCCUUUCUUAGUUAGAGAAGAAAUAAAUCUAUGUAUAUAGAUUCUGAACUUUACACCACUGUCACCCCAUAACAGACGUAUAAUAUAAGUGGAAAUUAAAUUUUGAAGAAAAACAAUGCGUUACCUGUUUUUCAGCUUCAUUUUCACUGAGUGUGCUUUGAAGCAUUCUCUUUGUCAAACCUAAAUUAAAUUUAAAAAAGUUAAUGACUAAAAAAAUAUGAACAAAACAUGCAGUCAUUUGAUAAUAAUAAUAAAUACAUUGAUAGGAAAAAUAUAUAUCAAAUAGGGAUUGAUAGUUCCAAAAGACUAUCGUCACAUGAGUAGUAAAUGGAAUCACAUUCAUGAGUAGGGACUAGUGGAGAUAUCAAAUUUUCUUUGUGGAAAUAACAGUUCCCAUCAAAUAAUCACUCUAUCAGUCCCUCCCAUUUUGUAUGUCAUCAUCAAUGUAAAAGGCACAAAUUUGAAGAUAAGUUGCCUGAACUUUAGAUAUUAUACUUUUAAUAUAAAUUUCUUUCCCAAAACUACACUGUUGAUACUAUAUAACUUUUGGGGGGAAACUAUAUUAAAAGACAUAACCUCUGAAUAACCUUCUGAUUAAUGGACAUACUAUAUUAAUUGUUGCUGCUGCUGAUCAACUUACAACACAACACCCACCCAUCCUUCAUGUCAUCCAUAACCUUAAUUGCAUCAAUUAACCUCCCUUGCUUACAAAACCCAUCCAUCAAAAUUGUAUAUUUCGUUGCAUCUGGAAUCCACCCUCUGUCAAGAAUUUCAUCAAAUAUCUUCUUUGCACCAAUCAUAUCACCCCUAGACACAUAACCCAACAAUAUGGUAGUAUAACUCACCACAUGGCACCAUACCCAUUGUUGGCAUUUCGUCUAACACUUUAAGGCACCUUCAAUAUCAUUGUUUUUACAAAGACCUUUGAGUAAAAUGUUGUAAGUAAAAACAUUAGGUAUUAUGUUGGAACUUCUUUUUACAAUGUUCAAACAAUAUAUGCACCAAAUUAUACUGUUUGUUCUGAAUCAAAGCGUUUAACAAAGUAUUAAAUGACCUUACUGAGGUUUCAACGCCGAAUUCUUUGACCCGUAAGAAGGUUUGGAGGGCUUGUUUGGGGCGACUGGCGAUUCCGUAGUUUCGAAUUACGACUAUAAAUAGAUUUUCGCCGCGUUUACUGUCCGAUUGCUGUAAUUGGGCGAGAAGAGUUUCCAUCGGCUCGAAUGCGGGAACUCGAGUGAGCUUGUUGAUGAUGGCGUGGUAGGUGUCAUAAUUAUGCUGUAAAUUGGGGUAGAAUUUUCCGACGUGGUCAAAGAUUUGGAGGGAAAGAUCAAGGUUUUGUUGGCUGGUGAUGAUGGAGACGAGGCGUUUGGGGGAGUGAUUGUGUAGGAUUUAAGGAGUUGGUCUUUGAAUUUUAUGGCGGAGAGGUGGUGGUGUGAGGGGUGGGCGAUGAAAGGGUCCGUGGUGGAGGCGGUGGUGGUGAGGUGGAGGUGGAGGUGGUGGUGGAAAUGAAAUGGCCGGUGAAUUGACAUGUUGAGGAAAGUGGCGGACUUGAGUGAGAAAAAGAUGAGACAGUGAGAAUUUAAUUAUGACCAUCAGAUCUGUUUUAAAAGAUCUAACAGCCCAAAAUUUAUCGUAUGGUACAAUAUGUACAUGUUCUCCCCCUCAAUCCCCGUUGAUCUCUUUGGACUAGCAAAUCAUACUACUCGAGAAUAUCCCGUAUAAAUUAUUGCCCACUCCUAUACGCACCAUCCUUUUCAGCAACAGUGUUUUAUUGGUCACCUCCCUAUCAUCACAGUAUCUUUCUUCUCUCUUAUUAAAUUGAAAUCAACGGUUAUAUUUCGUUUGUGGCAGGACCAAUUUCAACGCUUUCGUAGCUACAUCACUCCCCUUGCAUCUCAUUACUACCGGUACAUUCUAGUAUCAAGGUAUCAGGCUAUCAGCUUCUUCUUCAUUAGAGAGAAGCAAGCAAAGAAUCAAACUCAGAAGUAAUGGAGAAUUUAUGGCAAAAGGCAAAGAUAUUUGCAGAAGAAGCAGCCAAGAGAUCUCAAGCCCUAACCCUAACCACUUCUCCGGCGAAGAUCGCCGACAUUGUCUCUGAAACCGCUAAGCGAUCUAAAGACUUUGCACUCGAGGCCUCUAAGAAAGCCGAUGAGCUUAAAACUGUUGCCGAUCAACACAUCAAGUCUCUCGCCGAUCAAAUUCCCUCACUUUCACUCACUACUAAUUCUACUUCUUCUUCCGAUUCAGUGUCCGACUCCGACCUCCAAAGCUUCGGUAUCACGGAGGAUCUCAAACAGUUCGUUAAGGGACUUACCACACUCACAUUCCAGAGUUUUCCUAUUCAAGGUUUUCUUUAAGUCUAUCUAGAUUUUGGCUUCAUUCGUUUAAAUUGCCUUGGUUGAGAUGAUUUUAAUUGCUUUCUUAAUCUCUUGUUUGUUUCAGUGGAUUUUCUUUUCCUUGAAUCUUUAAAUUGCCUUGGUUGAGAUGCUUUUAAUUGUUUUGUUAAUUUCUUGUUUGUUUCAUUGGAUUUUCGUUUCCUCGGAUUCCCUAGAUCUUAGUUUAAGUUUAGACAUAUUUCAGCCAAGAUUACUUGAAACUCCAACAAAUUUGAUUUAGCUUUGGCAAUGUUUAAAUAAGCUAAGGUUUCUGGUUGAAAUAUGAGAUUCCUGUUAUGCCUUGAUUUAAAUGGUAGUAUCUGCUAAGUAUGUUCUAUUAAUAGUUAUCUUUGGUGAAGUUAACUGAGUUAUAAGUUCUGGACAAGGUAAUUUAAGGGACUUGGUAUUACAGCCCUGGGAAAUGGGGAAAUUUUUCUUUCUCUUUGUUGAUUUAAAUUCUUAUCAUCUCUCUUCAGUUAGAUAAUAAUUCUUGUUUCCUGGACGUGUAGAUGAUAUACAAGGAUCUGAUGUGGCUACAUUCUCUAAUGUCCGACAAGAUCUCUCUGAGUGGCAGCAGAAACAUGCCACCCUUGUUCUCACUACUGUUAAGGUAAUUUUUUCUUGUCUUUGUUUCAACUUGAACUCCUCAAGGGCCUUGCUUAGCAGUUGGAAGAAAUGAAAGUAGGAUAUCUUACUAGUUGUUAGAUCACACACAAUCUUCUCUAUGCUUGUGUGCUUUAUGGGACCUAAGAAGUACAUUAGAUGUUUUGAGCAAAAAGGCACACAUUUGAAAAAAUGACCGUCUCAUAAUAUUCAACAGCAUUUUUUUGUCCAGUGCAACAGAAUAGAAAUAAUGAAUUUUUCAAAUGAUAGAGGCAUACUGCAUGACGGGGCAAAUUGUGCAUCUCAAUUAAGAGAGUUCAUAUAUUCUGUUACUGGGAUUAUCUACUUACAGCUUAUGACACCAAAGCUGAAUAUUUCCUUUUUAUCUCCUUUGACGAUUUUAGUUUUCCCUUGUUGGGAGGCUGUAGAAUCAAAAUUUCCUAUGCCUUUUAUCCAUUUUAGUGAGUCUUAUAAAUUAUAAAAGUAGAUUUGUAAAUCCAAUUAAAUGUGAUUUACUAGUCAAAUGGUCCUAUGCAAACUCCAUACAUCAAGUUUUUAAUUUUUACCCUAAAAUUAAUUAAUUGAAGUUGAGAAAAAUACACGCUUUUUUCUUUAAAACUCUGGGCGUGAUUCUAAUUUGCACGUCACAAAAAUGUUCAUGUAUUUUGGAGUUCUAAAUUAGAAAGCAUAAACUAGUCGUCACAUGAAACUAUACUGUCUACAAUGUUUCUCAUGGCUGUGAUGUUUCAGGAAAUAUCGAGGUUAAGAUAUGAAUUGUGCCCACGACAUAUGAAAGAUCGGAGAUUCUGGCAGAUAUAUUUUACACUUGUGAACAGUCAUGUGGCUCCGUAAGUAACGCUCAGUUUUUAAUUUUCACUUUUUCUCUUAGUUAUGGUAAAUGCUAGGGAGAGCGAUAAAUGGCAAUACUGACUGCUUUUAAUUUCUGGACCGCAUUCACUUGUCCAAUUUUUAGACAUAUGAAAACUUGGUAACUAAUCAUUAAAUUAUGGUUAAAGAAAGAUACUUGAGUAGUAACUAAGGAUUGUUUUGAAGAAUUUUUAUUCUUUAGAAAAAAGUUUUCACUAAAAUCAGCAUCAGCGUGUUAGUCAUCUACACUGAGCGUAAUCCGGUAAGUGUUUCGCUGGACUAGUGAGAAUUUUGUAGUCCAUACGGAACAGCUCUAUGCACAAAAUCAAGAAAAGAGUAGACUAGUUUAAAACAUGAAUGAUCUGAAACCUAUAAGUGAGAGUGAGAUCAAUCUGCAAGGCUUGGCAUUCCUUUGAGACCACAAAAAGAAGCUUCCUGUUCAAAGAAGCUAUCUCUAUGAACCCUGAUAUUAUUAAUCCCAUGAAGGCAUGUACAUCUUAUCAUAAAAAACAUUAAGAAGUCAAGAUAUAAUAGUAGGCAUUUUGUUGAAAAUAUCCAUGAUCUGUUCUAAAUUCAUUUCUUUAUUGGACACAUCCAGGUCCGAGAAGAACUACGGGGAGAAGAAUAAGCUAAAAGAAGCAGAGAACAUUAAAGAUGGCAAACUUGAGCAAACUCCAACAGUUGGAUCAGAAGGAAAGGGAACAAGCCUGAAAAGUAAGACUUCAAGUUUAUCUGCGGAGCAGGAUUUAGACACAUUUCUUUUGGGGGAUCUUGAUGACAGUGAUGUGGAGCCAGCAGGUACAUUAGAUAGGCAACUUCGUGAAAUUACACUGGAAUCCUUCAGCUCAUAUCCUGAUGACAGUGAUGUCAUUAGUAUGUUUUAACUUAUAUAGCUGUUUGUAUAAUGAAAUUACACUGGAAUCCUUCAGCUCAUAUCCUUGUGUGACUGUGUUCAUAGUUUUUGGAUAAAAGAUGCAUUUAAAUGUACACACUCAUGGCUGCCGCACUCAACUUAAAAAACGAGUCAUAUGGUAUUGUCACUUGAGAAGGGAUUUAUUUUAGAAUUCCAUGGAAACAUAUGUUAUGUUCAUAGAGAUUUCUACUUGGUUCUCAAUUAUCAAGAUGGCAUGAUUUGAAGAAAAUAUUAUACCUAAUUGGGUUUUAUCAGAUUUGUUUAAAAAUGUUGUGUACUGCUCAUUAACUUUCCAAUGCUACUGCUGACAACUGAAGUUCUAAUGAAUGUAGUCUUUGUUAUCAUCAGGGUUUGUAUACUAAUUUUGUGCGACUAUUUGUGUGCAUUAUGCCCAAAUAUUUGGAUUAUAUGGGUAAUUUUCCAAGCCACUCCACCAAGCAUUGCUUGACAAUAUGCUAAAUUACUAGUUCUUUCUUUCUUUCUUUUGCUGAUUGUUAAAAUACAUUUUCUUAUGCACUUAGUUUUAUGAGUUCGAACUAAUUGAUACAAAUUGCAGAAAACCAGUAGGUAAUUGCUAGAUUUGUUUUUGUUGUCUUUUUUAUUGUUGGCAGUUUUUAUAUUGGAAUGCUCUUGGCCUUAAGUUGCUCAUUAACAAGUGUUUUUAUUUUUACCAGAUGAUGAUGAGAAUUUUGAUGAUGAUUUUGACAAGAUUGACAAUUUGGUAAGAACAAAUUAUCUUCCCAAAUAUUCCUUAAAGCUCCAUAAAGCUCCACUUUUCAUUCUGCUUUGUGCUGCUCAAUUUCUUGAUACAUUAAUUAAAAUCCUCUGGAGGGGUGACGACAAUAGCAGGAAUUCUAGUGUGUGCAACAACUAAGCACGGUUAUGUGGUAUUUUGGAGAACUGAUGGGAUUUUAUGCUUGCAGGGCGUUGAAGAUGAAACAUAGCCGAAUAAGAUGAUGACAGAGGCAGGUUAGAGGGCUAUGCAGUGUUUGAGCAAUUGAAGUCGUACGCGUAUCUGUUAGGUGGAGAGGACAAGUGAAGAAGAGUACUAGUAUAUUUUCUGUGAUACAUACAUACGGUGAUGUAUAGGAGGAGUUGGAAGGUUUACUUUGGCAAUAUAAAGGCCCAUCGUUUAUGGUAGAUCGGGAAAAAAAAUAGGUUUGGGUCGCAUAAAAUAGGUUUGGGUUGGUUUUGGAACCAAAAUCAUAUUACCUAUAUUUAAUAUCAGUUUAUGUGGUUUAGAUUUAAAUGGUUAUGGGUCGAAUCCAUGUUGACCUAUUUUUUUAAAUUAUAGUUUCAUUGAAAUCUUAAUUUCUGUUAUACUAAAAGAGUUUUAAUUUUGGUGGGCGGUGGGCGGUGGGCGGUGGGAGAAAUUAAAUUAUAUAGUAUAAUAUAAAAUAAUUUAUGGAGAGAGAGGAUAUUAAAUAUAAUUGUAUAAUUUAAAUGAGUUAUUUUAAUUAAUUAAGAGAGGAGAUAUUAAUUAUUUAAAUUAGUAGUUCGUUAUACUAAAAGUGUUAACUUAUUAUGGAUUAAUUUCAUAAUUAGUAAAAUGAUUUUUAUACAUAAUUACAAAUAUAUAAAUUACAAAAAUAUGUAAUAUGUAUAUAAUGUAAUAUGUAUAAUGUAUAUGUGUUAUAUAAGAAUGUAGUGUAAUAAUGCAUACAUAUUGAUAUAUUAACUCUACAAAGUGCAAAAAAUUAUUAUAGAUGGGUCAAAAUUAGAUCCAAUCUAUAUUUGUAAUAAUAAUAUGAGUCAAUUACUUAAAAAUUAGUUAACCAAUCUAAUAAAUUUAAGUAGUUUUGAUUAAUUAUUUAAUUUUCAACUUAAAUCGUUAGCUCUAAUUUAUGGUAUGGUUAGGUUAUGUUUCAUUUUAUCUUUGCUUGUACUAUUAAAAACUAUGGUUUGUACAGUUGCUGUAAUUUUAAAGCCAAAUUACGGGGUAGAACAAAAAAAAUUAUUUGAUGAACAUUAAAGCUUUACCAAUUUUUUGUAUGAUCAUAAAAUAAGAAUAUCUAUGCCUUAGUUGCAGCUACAAAUUACUGAUAAUCUUUUUUUUGGGUACAAAUUUAUUGAUACUUUUAUGCAUGUGUCAAUAAACUCAGUUACCAACUUGCGCUCAUUGAUGUUCGGGAUCUACGACUCAUUCGGAAUCAUCAUUUGAACCACUGCGCCAACUACUAGAGUAUCUAACAAUUAAUACUUUAAGAGGAAUUCGUCAUAUUAAAAAUAAAAAAGAUGAAUUAUGUAUAAAAAAUAUGACAAUCUCUCUUAAUAAUAAAAAUACUAUUCACUAUGCCUCUAAUUUUUUAAGUAAUAAUUAGUAGCGUUUAGGAUAUGACUUUAAUAAAUAAAGUUAAAUAUUUACCCUCAUAUUUUAUAUUUUUAUCUCGGUAAUGAUAUCAUAUAUUUGCUAUGACAUAUAUAUCAUUUCUACCAUUUAAUAUUACGUCUGUUACUAAUAAUAGCAGACGUAAAUUUUUUUCGUUUUAAUUUUGGCCGUUGAUUUUUGUAUUGGACAUUCAUUGAAAAUACUCCCUCCCCUUCCUAAAAGAUUGUCGUUUAAGUUUUUGGCACAUGGAUUAAUGAAAUGUCAUUUACCAAGUAAAUUGUUUGAAAUUCCAUUACUACCCCUUUAUGGGAAAAUUGAAAACUAUUAAUACAAAUGAGAGAAUUUUUUGGGACAAUGAGAGAAUGUAGGAGUAGUAUAAGAAAUUAAAUAAUUUAUUCACCUCGAAAGUUGUAAACGACAAACUUUUUGGAAUAAUUUUUUUUUCUCUAAAACGACAAUCUUUUAGUAACGCAGGAGUACUCGCUAUGGAUCAUUUCUUUUAUCUUUAAAAUAAAAAAGAAAAAGAAAAAGAAAAGAAAAAGACUAAAAUGCCCAUAGUAAGCCUGCUAAUUAGAUAAACGCCAUUACCACUCAACUAGAAUUAAGAACCUGAUAUAUAUUACCACAAAUAUUUGACAAACUUAAAUUCUGAAUAAAAUAAAUUAAAAUGCAACAAUAAUUGAUUUUUACUCGAAAUCAUAGUUGGCCAAAAACUUUGAUAAUGUCCAGCAAGACUCCUAUAAUUACAUACCCAGAAACGGAGCCAUCGCGCUCCACAGUCCACCCAACUCUCCAUGAUUUCUGCGGCGGCCGUCGUCUUAAUUGGCGGAAGGUCAAUCAGACUGACCCAACUGUCCUCCAUUAAACUUUUAAUUCCCAACAUAUCCUCUCCUCUCUUCUUCUCUUCCCUCUGCAAAGGCCGACCACUCUCUCAAACAGUUCCACCACCAGUCCCCAAAAAAGUGCCCUUUACCGUUUCAGCUCAUGGAAUCAAGUGGCAAGACCCAUACCAUUGGAUGCGAAAAACGGACGAGCCUGAUUUCAUCAACUACCUCCACCAAGAAAACUCUUAUGCAGAAGCUUUCAUGGCCGACACAAACAACCUCCAACAGACUCUCUUUUCUGAGAUGACCAGCCGAAUACCCUCCAAGAUUUCCACUCCCCCUGAACGCUUCGGUCCCUGGUCUGUUCUUUUAUUUAUAUACAAAAAUUUGUUGCUUUUAGGCUUAAGUUGAGUGGGUAGUUUAUGAAAUGUUUAGUAUUGCUUAUUGUUGGCACAUUGUGGUUGUAGAUGCAACUCAGUGCUCUGCUAUGUGUUGCAUGAAAUUUAUGAAUGAAAAUGUGCAAUUGUUAAUGCGUGAUUAUAUAUUUUUUGUGAUUAAAAUAUAUUUACCUAUGUUUGUGUUUCAUGAUUACAAUGUACUGAGAUUGUUAAUGGAGUUUGAACGGGUUGUAGUCAAUUAUAUUGGGGAAUGCAUUUAACCAUAUAUGCAGUUUAUGAUUAUUCAUGUACUGAGAUUGCUGAUUUUGAGAUUUUCUAAUAUUAAUUGAGUUUGAACAGGUUGUACUACCAAUAUAUUCCGGAGGAUAAGGAAUACCCAGUUUUAUGUAGGAAACUAACAACUGAGAGGAAAGGUUGGGUGGAGACCGUAGUCAAUUACGUGAGGGGAGGAUCAGGGAAGGAGGAAAUUUUGCUUGAUUGGAAUGAAAUUGCGAAACAAUAUGGUAGGUUUCUUCUUGUGGAUGGUGGGAGAAUAGUUAUGCUUUAUUUAAGUUAGUGUUUUCUUGUUAUAAUACACUCACACAUACAUAAAUAUAUAUCCUCCUCCCUCGGUUCCACAAAAAGAGCCCCAUUUGAUGUUGAUCCUAGGUCAUUUGGGAAAAUUGUGAUGUGAAUUUAUUGUAAUUUUUGAAAUCAUAAUUUGUAAUUUGUAAUACUUUUUAAGUAUUUAUACUAUUAACCAUUUCAUUAAUCAAAAUCAAUUAAAUUCACGUCAAUUUUGAAUUUUGGGAUUUCUCGCAAAUUGAUUAGGAUUUUUUUAUUUUAAAAUGAGACUCUUUUUGUGUAUAAGAGGGAUAAUAUCUGCUUUUCAUUUCUUUCCUUUCCCUGUGUUUUCCAAGUCUCAGACGUGCCAAAAUGUGCUUGAGGUACUUUUUCUCACUUAUCAAAAUUUCAAGGGAAAUUCGAUUGCUUGAAAGGUUAUGAAAGUCAAUACUGAUACUGCUAAUUUUGAUUGUAUACACAUGCUGAUGUACUUGAAGUAAUGUAUUCAUUCUUGCGUUGCGUAUUAUAUGAGAAGUCAACUUUCUGUAUCCACUGCAUGUGCGUUUAAUAGUUUCACCACGGAGAGUUUGCUAGUAGGGUUUGAAUGUAUUGUUAUAAUAAGUUGCGCUUUGGUUUAGGUUUUAUCCUUGUAUGAUUGCAUAGACAUAAUUUUUAUCUUUUUCAAAUAAAAAAAAUAAAAAAAGUUGUAUUCAUAUGCUUGUAUGCUUGAUUUUUUUGUUCUGGAUAUGUCCAUGUUCAGACCAAGAAAUUUCUUACUUCCACUCAGUACUUAUUACCUGUAUUUUUUUAAUAUUAAGUUUCCAUAGUUGGAUCCUUUAAUUGUCCUCAAUGGCAGGGUAUGUUCAUGUGGGUGCAUGUCGAGUAUCACCAGACCACAGUUUUCUUGCUUACACACUUGAUAUUACUGGUGGCGAACAGUUCAUGUUACAAAUUAAGGACCUCAGAAGUGGUAUUCUUCAGGACCUAAGAGUUGCCGGAGUUGUUAGCUUAGCGUGGGCUCAAGAUGGUUGUACUUUGUUCUAUACCAUAUCUGAUGAUACCCAACGGCCUUACAGGCAAACAUUUUCUUACUAGUUCAUUGCGUCUUUCACUUGGGAGUUUGUAUAAAUCUAACUAAUUAUUAGUUGGGCAGGGUACAGUACACUAAACUGGGACCAGAUCCUAUGAAUGAUAUCCCAUUAUAUACAGAAAUGGACUCCAGCUUCUGUGUGGACAUCACGAGUACGAAGGAUGAAAAGUUUAUUACUGUGAAUUCAAACUCAAGAACUUCAUCUGAGGAAGGAACUUACCUAUGCCACAUGCCAUUAUUGUAUUCCCUAUUAUUUGUAGAAGAAUAUCUUUAUGGUUGGUUUUACUUACAGCUAGGUUGUUUCGUUUCAGGUUUAUGUCAUAGAUGCAAACAAUCCACAAGAUGGCUUACAAAUGAUUCACAAGCGUGUCCCUGGUGUACAAUACUUUUUGGAACAUCACUAUGGCUUUUUCUAUGCCCUUACAAAUGUGCCUUUGAGUGAUGAUAAUGGAUUGUCUAGCGGAAAUUAUUAUUUGACUAGACGUCGAGUUCAAGAUAUAAAGUCAGCUAAUUGGGAGGUAAAUUUUAUUUACAUGGUCAGGCAUUUUUUAUAAUUUAACUUUCACUUUUGCCUUAAGCUCUAGGUUGUACAAGGUACAAACAUAGUGCUGCAAGGAACUUUGAGUAUAUUGUUAACAAAAAAAAGGUGGAACUUUGAGUAUGUUGGUCUGCUUCUGAAUAUUAUUUGUGCAACUCUCUUUCAUUAUGUUUCCAAUACCUCGUGACAAACACUGCAAGUUGUUGCUUAUUAGUUAUAACUCCCUCUGCUCCUCCUUUUCAUUUGCUUGAUGAACUAAAAAAUCAGGAGAGCAAACCUUCAACGAGGUUUGUGAGGAUCAAAUACUCCGCAUGAAGUAGCUAGUCUGUGCUUCUUUUUAUUGCAUAACAUGGAAUAAGAGAAUGUGAGAGCCACAACUCAGUUGAUACUAUUGUCCUACAUAAACUUCAAUCCAAAAAACCGUAUCCACUUAGUUGCAGUUAAGGCUUCAGAAAUGACCUGGAUCUAAAUUUUUGUAACUAUAAUUAUAUUGGUCUCCCAACUCCAAGGGGUGGGAGAAAUGACAGAGGCUUGAAGAAUAGCCUCAAAGUCGCUGAUUCCAAUCCCUAUACUUGGGAUCAAAAUUACCAAUCAAAAUAAUAAUAAUAAUAUUAAUAAAUUUGUCACCUCAGUUGGUGAAACGUUAUUAAAGGUUUCUUUCUCUCCACUAAUCUCUCUCUCUCUCCCUUGUCAGUUUUUCUCCCUCAAUUCCCCUCUCCCUUAUUAUUACAAGGCAAAAUGGAGCUGCCUAUCUUAUCCAUUUCUUAUUUUCAAUUACUUUUGUUUUCUCUUACUAGAAUAUCAUACUACCAAGUGAAGAUACCAGCAUACAGGACAUGGACAUUUUUAAUGAACAUCUGGUGCUUUUUCUUAACAGAAAGGGUUCCCCUGUAAUAUGUGCCAUCACGAUGCCUAUUGAUGGAAGUUGUAUGGUAUAAUUCUCUGAUACUGUUAGUAUUUACUUGUUUUAUAUAAUUUGAGUUUGCUUAUUUGUCUUAUUUUGUUCUACAGAAAGAAAUGGAGAUUGAUGAUCUCAAUCCGUGGUAUUUCCCUCUGCCGUCGAAUUCCUGUGGAAUUGUUCCUGGUUCAAAUCAUGACUUUAUGAGCUCCCGGUAUCGCGCCAUCCUCUCAUCUCCAGUGGUAUGAAUUCUAAUGGGAUGUACAUUCUGGUUAUUUGAUUAAUCUGAACUUAAUAGUCCGCUUUCCUCUACCCCUCACACCCCUCCCCCCUCCGGGGAAAAAAAGUUUAUCAAAAAUAUGGAUUAAAUUUAACAGCAUCCCAAGUACUUAGAAGAAAUGAUGAAGCUCAGAAUAAAUUUAUAUUUUUCUUAUACGAGUAGGUGAUGGGUGAUGAGCCUGAAUGCAAUCAGAUUAAGUCCGAAAUACAAAGAUCUUAUUAUAUUGAUUUUUUGCAAUAAUCCUGAAAUAUUGAUUCCCGACCAAGGAAAGGUAAAUUUUCCUGCAAGAUGAUGCUCAUACCAUGAGCAAUGUGGCUCCUAAUUAAGCAAGCUAGAAAAAAUACAUUAACUAAAGGAAAACCACAAACUCAUGUAACAGGAAAAAUAACACCCCAAACUUCUCUUUCUAUGAAUAUGGCAUUAUACAAAAGUAAUGUAGUUGGCAAUAAGGUAAACUUGGGAACCAAGUUUGACUAAUGAAUUAGAGUUAAAAAUCAACCUUGUUGGAUUGAGUAAGUAGGCAUUUGGUGAAUCGCUGCUGUGAGGUGAAAUACUUUUACUAGUAGCACCACGAGAAAAAAUUGAAGGACCUCUGCAUUGAGGUGACUUUUACUAGUAGUUUGAGGAAAAAGUGUUGUUAAUACAAAACUGCAAUAGUGUUUGGUAUAGAAUUUUAGAAGCAGUUUAUAGAGAUAUUUUAGCUUGUUAAGUUUAAAUUCAAACACAGUUCAAAAGGACCCAAUUAUAGCUUCUUCCUAAAGUGAUUUAGCAUCCCAACACUCUACAGCUAAAAGUACUUUUGUAAUAUUGUUAAUUACCAAAUAGGCAAAUACUCCUAACCACAAAAUUUGAUUUAAAAGUGUUUUAAGCCCACCUCACUGCUGAACGGACACCAAGUAUGUAGAUCCUACUUAAGACACAUACCUAAAAUAAGCAUGUUGUACAAGCUCGUUAACUCAACAAAGAUCUUUACCUAUUUGAAGCGUAGUAUUCCCUAAUUGCUAAUAUAUUAGUUAAGAAAUAAGUCCCUUAAACCUAUUUUUGAUAAAAAUUUAACUUAUUCCUCUUUGACAAGAGUUGAUCUUAUAUUUUGCUUGCAUCAGUUAUGCAAGGUUGAUUAUUUGAAGACAGAUUUCUGGAUUCUUUAGUGAGGGUUAUGUUUGAGUGAUUUUUUUUUUUAUUUAUUAUUAUUGAAUAAAAAAAUUCCUUUUGAAAAACGUUGAUUAUUGAAAGGUUUUGUAUAUGGAUGUUGGAUGAUGAGUGGGGUUUGUGGAUUGGGAACUUGUAUUUAGUUCCUCUUUGGUGUAAAUUGGAUGAGUUGGUUGUAAACAUAUUUGGGGUUGAAUUAAUUUCUCUCAUCUCCACUGGUCAGGGACACAUAGCCUAAGUUCUUGUUUUCUCUUUUUCAAGCAGCAAGUGGGGUUUGUCCAAAAGUUAACAUUUGCAGUUAUUCUUUUGUUUUAUUUGUUUGUUGGCUCUUCUCAAUGUUUUUCCUCUCUGUUUUAAUCAAAUGAAGAUGCUGUUUAGUUUCACAGUUUUCAACUCAUUCAUAGGUUAUCUCCUCUGGCUGUUCUCGAGUUUUUUUCGCUUCUUGGCAGUCCUAGGUGGAGCUGCUUUCCGUCAUAGUUGUCCCUGUUGGCCUAGUAGUUCCUUAGUCUUGUAACUCAGCUCUUCGAACCUUAGGACAAACAACUUUGAGAACGGCACUUCAAGUCGAUUUCUUCUAACUCAAUUCCCUUAAGUGAGGUCGGGACUCUGUUUCUUCUCUAGCUGGCAUUUUGGUCUGUUUCCAUGAGUGUUGUUGCUUUCAACCGGCCGAUAGCCCCCUGUGACAGAAUCCCAAACAGUAGCCCCGAAGUUCUAUUUUGGGAUUAAAUCGUGUUCUCCUUUAAUCCUAAACAAUGCAAUGAAUAUAAGAAAGUGACUUGGCUGAGUUAUAAUGAUUUACCUAUUAUCCUUGUCAUUGCGAUACAUUGUUGGAUGUAAUUGUCGACUCUGACUGAGUAAUCUAAUUUGAAUUCUACAUGAGAGUUGUGUCCCUCAUACAUAGUUUUGUUUUGUCAAGUGCAGAUACCUGAUUUAAUUGUCGACUAUGACAUGUUUAGACGUACUUUUUCCAUAGUGCAUCAAGACGAAGUACUUGGUAUUUCCCCUAAUUCUGGGUCACGCUCAAUGACUUGCGAAGGAGAGAGUUAUGAAUUUCCAAACCUCCAAAGUGACAAGGACAAAGAUGUCAUAUAUAAUGAAAUGCAGGGAUGGAGGAAUUUCUGUGAUGCAUAUUGUUGUGAAAUAAAGGAAGUCGUUUCCCGCGAUGGUACCAGAAUUCCUCUGACCAUCUUGUACUCUCGGAAAGCACAUCAAAAGGCUCAAUCUCCUGGAAUUCUACAAGGCUAUGGAGCAUAUGGGGAAGUGCUUGAUAAAAGCUGGUGUGCAGACCGACUAAGUUUACUUGAUCGGGGUUGGGUAGUUGCAUUUGCUGAUGUAAGGUAUAUCUCAAGUUUGUUAUAUUAUGGCCAUUAUCCACUGCAAAUUGUAAUUUGGAACUGAGUAGAACAAUACAACCAAGUCGAAUAGUUAAUGUUGGAUUUUGUUUCAAUAGUUAGAUAAUAUCCUCUUUUAUGAAUUCAGACAUGCAUACGAACUCUGGCCCUAAAAAUAGAAGGUUCAUUUAAUUUAAAGCCGAUAAUAGUCUUAACUCACUUAUAAUUAAAGAUACCUUGUAGGAUAGGGGACAAAAUAACAACAUGUGUUCUGAGAGCAUAAACAAUAUGCUGGUGUAUUUUAUACUAAUUAUACGGCCCUUGACAAAUUGAAAUGGAGACUGAAAACAUUUGAAGCUAACCCCCAGGCAUAUUAAAGAAAUUGAUGAGUUGUCUCUCUUUCACAACAUGCUAUUCCUUCCAUCCCAAAUAGGGCGUCAUGUUUUCCAUUUUGAAAUGUACCAAAAUGUUCAUCACUUUUUCGAAGCUGGUGGAAAUUUAAAUAAAUGGACGGUAUUGUCCUCUUAGAGAUAAAUAUAUGUUUACCCACAAUAUAUUGCAAAACCAAUGCAAUUUUAUUAUUGGAUAUAAAAGGAACAAGUUUGGUCAAAUUUUUUCAUUUUCUUUUAAACUAUUUUCCAUAUUGACCAUGACUAUUUGGGACAUGAAUUUAUUGUAACUUGAGCUGCACCAAGUUCUUUCCAACUGCUUCAUCUUCACACAUCUAUGUCCACCUAGGUUAAUACUGACAUAUAGUGGACAUUCUCUGCGUAUUUUAUCUUUUGAAUUGAAAUAUGCUGGCUAUUGUAAAUGCUAUCUGUUGGUUCCCUAUGCUGGAAAGCUAUAUUGACAUCAUGAGUAUCGAAAACUAGUAAUUUGACUGCUGUGGCUUGUUUUGUAUGGACAGAGGUGGUGGUGGUGUUGAUCCUUCUUGGCAUAGAUCUGGGAGGGGAUUGUACAAAUCAAACUCUAUAUUUGAUUUUGUGUCAUGCGGGGAAUACCUGAUUAAUGAGGGUUAUGUCCAUAAGUGUCGGCUUGGUGCUGUUGGAUGUAGUGCCGGAUGUCUUCUUGCUGGUGCAGCCUCUAAUAUGUAUCCAGAACUCUUUCAAGCUAUUAUUUUGAAGGUAAGCACCCCUACAGAACUUCAACAACUAUCUCACAUUCUUUUGUCGGAUGGCUAUAGAACUCCUAUGAGUUGUAUCCAAAAAUAUUAAAAAAUUACUGGAGUUGAAGAUAUUUUGAACUCCCACCAAAUCUAGGAAGCAUCUUCACCUCCCUCUUAACAUUGACCUUUCCUACUCAAGAUUGGGAAAGGGAAGCAGUAAGAACAAGUGAUGGUUAUUGUCUAAGAACAUGUUAUGUAUUAGUAGUAAACAAAUUUGCUUUUGGGAUGUCUAGUUUUAAAAUUUAACUUCAGUAACUGCUGUUCUACAAUUUAUUGUCAAAGUAAUGUUAAUAUAUAUUUGUCAGAUUCUUCUUAUUGUGUAAGAAUCUGAGUGCUUGGUUUGUUUGGAGAGUAACGUGACCAUGAUGUUUGUCUCAGGUUCCAUUUCUUGAUAUCUGCAACACAUUACUGGAUCCCAGUUUGCCUCUCACCAUAUUGGACUAUGAAGAAUUUGGAAAUCCUCAGAUACGAUCCCAAUUCCAAUCUAUUUUGAGUUAUUCUCCGUAUGAUAAUGUACCAAGUAAAGUUUGCUGUCCUGCAAUGCUUGUGACGGCAUCCUUCAAUGACUCAAGGUAACUUCAAACAUCUAUAAAUAUACACACACACAUAUGCCAUGCCUUUUUGUCAUUUUAAACCUUGCACAUGCAUGUAGUUGUAUAUUCAUACCUCUGCCUAGAAAUAUACAUAUUUGAAAGCAUAAUCGAAUGGAUACGGAUAGUUUAACCGGUGCGGUGCCAUUUUUCAAUUAUCUCAGAGUUGGAGUUUGGGAAGCUGCAAAAUGGGUGGCCAAAGUACGAGAUAAUGCAUGUCCAAAAUGUUGUCACUCAGUCAUCCUGAAGACAAAUAUGAGUGGUGGACAUUUUGGUGAAGGUGGGCGUUUUGGUCAAUGUGAGGAAUUGGCGUAUGAAUAUGCUUUUCUGAUGAAAGCUAUGGGCCUCUCGGAUAAGGAUUGAAAAAGGAUUUGUACCAAGAUUCUUGUAAAACAUUUUCAAGUGUACUCUUACCUCUCCCGAUGGAAUUAUGAGCUAAACUCUCCAAUGCUUUGAAGCUUGCAGUGCCUCUUAAUUGCUGCAUCAAAAGCUACCAAUAAGCUCGGAGCGAGCUUAGUGGUCUUGCGAACUAGGUACUACAUUAUUUUUGAUUUGUAAUAUUUAUCUUCUUGCGAGCUUAGUCUGUUAUGUUACGUGUGCAGGAGUCCAGAAGUAGCCAAUAGUUGUCCUCCUCCUCCUCCAGGGCCAGGCUAGCCAAGAUUUUGACUUGCUGCUGUAUGGCAUAAAAAAGUAGUGGAUUUCUUUCUUAUUACGCUUGGCUGGUGUAGAAGAAGAAGAGAAGACACUUUCCAUAAUACUCUUAGAAUUCUCGAAUAAAAAUAUUUCUUAUUUAGUGCGUUUAAAUGUGAGAAUUUAUACAUUGUAGUAUUAGUAUAGAAUAUGAAUAACAACUAAAGUUGAUAAACCAACCCCACCUCGUCUUGCUAAUUUAAUAUACCAUCUGUUCAUGUGGAUUUAAUAUACCAAUUAACUAUCUCCUCUCCUGCUUAAUUAAUUACAAUUUUCAAGAAUUGGGCCCCUUCAUUAAACAAACGACCCCAGAGGAAGUAGUCCAAAUCCAUGAUCAUGUAUGUUUAUUUUUCACCCUUUUAGCCCAGCCCACAGAUCUGCACUGCACUAAAAUUGUAGAAAUGGCCACCCCAUCCGUUCGCUACCAGUACCUGUUGGACUCUGACCACGCCACGUCAACACCCUAUCACUUUAUUACACGUCACCCUAUCUCUUUCCCCGCCUUAUCCAACGGUCGUGAUGAUCUCACCCAAUCUCAGAUCCACCGGCUAUAAUUGUGCAUUCUGGACANNNNNNNNNNNNNNNNNNNNNNNNNNNNNNNNNNNNNNNNNNNNNNNNNNNNNNNNNNNNNNNNNNNNNNNNNNNNNNNNNNNNNNNNNNNNNNNNNNNNUUAACUUUUUAUAAAAAGAUAAUAAUAAAAUUUUAUAUAAAUUUUAAUUUUAAAUGAUAGUAUUAAAUAAUUUUUUUAAUUUAUAUUUAUAAAGUUAAAAAUAUAAUUAUUAUGGAACCGGGAGAGUAAUAAGUAUGGAUAGUUUUAGGGAGAGAAAGAUUAUGUUAUUCUAACCAGGGUUAGUUAUCUAACCAGGGUUCACGCGCAACGUUCUUCACUGCAGAUAAACCGGAGUUAAAAAGAACAUUCGACGAGAGUGAGAUAAAAUACAUAUAUAUGUAUAUACAUGGAGAGAGAGAGAGAGAGAGAGGCUUAGCAAGAACGAAGAGAGGGUUUUGUGGCUUCGACAAAAACAUUCAGGGAUCCUGCCACAUCGGAAUCCAGCCCGUUGAACCUUCUUUCUUUCUCUCAUUCCGACCGUUGAUCUGUUUGAAUCUUUAUAUUCGCCGGUUGGCCGACCCUUUUUUCAGAGUUCAAUCUAUCCAGAUCCACCCGACUGGUGAGUUAUUUAUUUUAGACUUUUCAAGUUUGUCAAUGUAUUAUUUUCUAAUCAACUUAAAAUUGUUGCAAUUAGUUAGUUUGCACUAUUCAUGAAGAUCCAAACUUUAUUAUGAAUCACUUACAAUAAUUCAACCCUACCCGGAUUGAUUACGCCGGAAUUGUUUUGGAUUUCCUGAUUUUUGAUUGCUUUUAGGGUCCUUGGAGUAUUUUCAUGUUUGUCCAGCUCAUUUAACAAAUUUGAUAUUCCAUAGGAUGGGUAUUUAAUAUCUACCAAAUUUUGCUAAUAAAAACAUUAACUAGAAUUAAAGUGUUUGUAAUGCACAAAACUUCCACUUCCGUUAACUUUUGUUGGAGUUUAAUAGGUUCAAUGUAUGUAGACAUAUAGUGGAAACCAUGUAUACUGUGUUUAUUAUUUUAUUAAGUUAUCAAAAGUUAAAGCUCGAGGUUGUAAGGAAAAUCUGAACUAUUUGGUGGUAUACAAAUGAGAUGCCAUAACUUAGAAAGUUAUAUAAGGUAUGUAAUGCAGAACACUAACAACUGAACUUUGAAUAGUAUACCCAAUAAUCUGGCAAACUGGUCCAUAUACAAAUUAAUAUAUUAGUGUGUAUUCUUUCCCACAUACCCUGCUGCUUAAUUUGGUUUGAUCUUCUCAUGUGACCAUCUUUUUUGAUGACUAUGGUUUUUUAUUUCUCGACCUUCUGCUUCAGUUGUUCUCUGUAUCAUGUUUGUGAUCCACUUGUAUUAAUUUAUUGCAGAUUAAGGUCUAUUGCUAUAUCACAUUAUCAGAUGGAUUUCUAGAUGUGUUGAUCAAGAUACUACUUUUCUCUGCCUCUAACAUCUGAUUAAUGAUCUUAUGUGAAUCAUACUUUCUCAUACAAUUGCAAUCGUCUUCUGAGUUUGGCACUCUCUUCGGAGUGAGGAAAAAAGUUUCUUCCGCUGCCAUCGCGGUUGCCAGCUGCAGGAACAAACAGACUCUCCCUUCAUUUCAUGUCGCCUAAUUUGGACAGCCCUGUUCAGACACAGAUGGCGGUGACAGUAUUUAGCAACCCACUUGGUGGAGAGUAUCACGGAAACAAUAGGAUGGAAGGGAAGCCUUCUGGAAGGAGACGUGUUUUUGUGCAGACUGAAACUGGUUGUGUAUUAGGGAUGGAUUUGGAUCGGAGCGACAAUGCGCAUACUGUGAAGAGGAGGUUGCAGAUUGCCCUUAAUGUUCCAGUUGAGGAGAGUUCAUUGACAUUUGGUGAUAUGGUCCUUAACAACGACCUGAGUGCCAUUCGAAAUGAUUCUCCUCUUCUUCUUACACGAAAUGUAUUGCACAGAAGUUCUUCAACUCCUUGUCUCUCCCCUAUUGGGAGGGAUCUACAACAGAGGGAUCAGAGUGGGCCUAUCGAGAUCUUGGGGCACUCUAAAAGCUUUAUCAAAACAAAGCAACUUGUCAAGGAAAUUAUCAAGGGGAUGAAGAUUGGGGUUGAUCCGAUUGCUGUUCAUGGCGGACUUGGAGGCGCAUACUAUUUUAGAAACUGUAGAGGUGAAAGUGUUGCCAUUGUAAAGCCAACUGACGAAGAGCCUUUUGCACCAAAUAAUCCUAAAGGUUUUGUGGGGAAAGCUCUCGGGCAACCUGGCUUGAAGCGUUCUGUAAGGGUUGGGGAAACUGGGUUCAGAGAAGUUGCUGCUUAUAUUCUUGAUUAUGAUCACUUUGCUAAUGUACCACCCACUGCAUUGGUGAAGAUCACUCACUCAAUCUUCAAUGUCAAUGACGGUGUUAAUGGAAACAAGCCUCAAAGCAAGAAGAUCGUGAGCAAAAUUGCAUCCUUGCAACAAUUCGUACCCCAUGAUUAUGAUGCCAGUGACUAUGGGACGUCAAGUUUCCCUGUAGCUGCUGUGCAUCGUAUUGGGAUAUUAGAUAUCAGGAUAUUAAACACGGACAGGCAUGCAGGAAACCUUCUGGUCAAGAAGCUUGAUCGUGUUGGGAGGUUUGGUCAAGUGGAACUCAUUCCAAUUGAUCAUGGCCUCUGUUUGCCUGAAAGUUUGGAGGAUCCAUACUAUGAAUGGAUCCAUUGGCCCCAGGCUUCAAUUCCAUUUUCAGAAGAGGAACUUGAAUACAUAGAAAAACUAGAUCCUGUUCGGGAUUCUGAGAUGUUGCGAAGUGAACUUCCCAUGAUCCGGGAGGCUUGUCUCCGAGUCUUGGUUCUCUGCACAAUGUUCCUCAAGGAAGCUGCUGGUUUUGGUCUCUGCCUUGCUGAGAUUGGUGAGAUGAUGAGUAGGGAAUUUCGUGGUGGUGAAGAGGAACCCAGUGAGCUUGAGGUUGUUUGUAUUGAGGCAAGGAGACUGAUGGCUGAGAGGGAGGUUUUAUCGCCUAGGGAUGAAGCAGAAGACAACGGGUUUCAAUUUGAUAUAGAUUCUGAAGAACCCGGAUUUGACUUCACAUCAGAGGAACUCAUUUCUCGAACCCCAAUUCAAUUUGGAUUUGGAGGUGGUUUCAGUGGACGUAAUCCGCUUUCCAAGCUAGAGGAAAGCAUUGAGGAGGAUGAGAAGGAAACUGAAGGGGAAGUAGAAGACAAGGGAUCCAUAGCCGUAGGACUUCCGGGCCCUGCAAAGAUGCCUACUGUUUCCAAGCUAUCCAUGUCACUCAAGAACACCAGUUUAGAUGAGAAGCUUAAGUACCGGAAAAUUUCAGGAACUAGGCUAGAAUAUGGUUAUCCGGCAAACUCAUCAUCUGGACACAAGAGUGCGCAUGAUCAGCUUCCCGCCAGUGCUAGCUUUGUAAAGUUUUCAGACAUGAAUGAGGAAGAAUGGGUGCUGUUCUUAGAGAAGUUCCAAGAGCUGCUGUACCCGGCGUUUACUCAGCGGAAGUCUGUGACCCUCGGGCAGAGACAGAGACAGAGGCUUGGGACUUCGUGCCGGUUUUGAGAUCGACUAUAUGUUGCUAUUAGAGAUGACUGAAAUAAAACUGCAGACUUGUGAGAGUGAAGGAUUCAUAGGUUAGGAUUUGAUUGCUAUUGGCUUUCUUCACUGAAGGUUACUGUAGUUGGGACUUUGGUGGUAGUAGCAGUAGGAAAAAUGCUUGUAAAUAUUUUGAAGGCAGCUAAGUGAAAGGCUCGAGCAGAAGGUAGUAAUUUUUCUAUUUAACUUCAAUUUUUUCUUUGGACUCUUUCUGGACUUGUUUGAACAAUAAUUUGUAGAAUGAAAUCCAAAAAUAGUGAAAAAAAGUGUUUGUACAUAUUGAAUAUUAUGCUUCUAAGACUCUUUUUGAAUUGAAACUAUUACUAGUAUUUAUUGGAUUAGCUUGAGUUGCAAUGGUGCUACACUACAAGUCUACAUGGAUGGUAUAUUCUUAUUAAAUUAAUACUAAAAAGAUUAUGUAAAAGGUGUCAUAUAGAAGUUUUAAUUUAUGUGAAAAUUUUCAACAAUAAAUGAGAUAUUUUUCUUCUUCUUCUUUGGUGUUGGGUUAGUUUUAGAGAGGUGGUUUUUUGGAUUUAAAUUCGGGACCAGCGAAGCGAGCGCUUGGUCAUCAUGUCAAGUAGGAUCUCAUUUUCAGGCAUAGGUAGUAUGAUAUGAAUUAUUGGUUCCUAUAAAAUAAAAGUGGGUUUAACUUGAUCUCAAUAGCAAGACAAGGAUUUGUAGCAUCAUCCUUUGUUGUUGUAAAGAUUGACAUUCGUUCUAAAUGGUUUUAAUUAAGUGAUGGAUUUUAUUAAGGUACUAAUUCAAUCACGUGUUGCCAAAAUAAUAUUCAACAAAAACAUGAGGUUUAAAUAUGCAGAGCUGGCAAGGAUCAACAGAUGAAACAACUCAAAGGCCUUCCUUUAUGGCUAAAUUAUGCACCCUUUAGGACUAUAACAACGAGGAUUGUAUAUAAAUAAAUCGGUUACACGAAAGGUUCAUCAGGUGAACUGUCUGUCAAGCUGACAACAUGUCCAAGUCUUGCAGAAUGAUUACAGUUUUGUAGCAAUUCUGCAUGAUCCUCAACACAAUGAACAAUUAGAUUAGAUUAACUAAAUCUUUCAUUCACUAAUCAACCUUCUGCCAGACUUGCUUCCCUUUCCACCUGCUUUCUCAGCUGAUCUAAAAUUAAUAUACAACGCCCCUUCACUCACAAGGGAAUCUAUCUGAUGGCAAGUGUAUUAGUGAACACCUUGUCGUGUAAAGUCCUCCUGCUUCUCUAAAUCUGCACAAGUAACCAAAAAGUAUUUGCUUUCUCAGUUCAAAAUAUAAGGCAAAAAAACGUAACUGGAUCCUAAAUUCUGACAACAUGGAAAAUUGAUCAUUGUACAGUUCUGUGCAGAAUGUUUGACGCUCAACAGCACCUUCCUAUGAAUCAACUAUUGACUGAAUUCCUGAAUCAUGAUCAAUCUUCAUGUUCAUUUUCACCUUCAGAAUCUGCAUAAAUAGAAAAGUAAGUCCAAUUAUAUAUCAGUUACAACGGGAGGUUCUGACUGAAGAUGCUAGUGGUCUGAAUUAUAUGCAAGAGGUUGCUGUCAUAUUAGAUCACUUGGCUGGAGCAAUAAUGGCUGCUAAUACAUUUAUAACAAGCUAUAGAAGUCGUCUUCAAGGGAAAUUUAACCGAUAAUAGGGGUCAAGACGCUGUCAGGCGAGUUUUUUUGAUUUGCUAAAAACUAUCCAUUCCAUCUUUAGGCCCCUAACUAUGAUAAAGGGGCGAGUGCACUUUUUGAUGAACCACAAGUAUAACCCAUACUAAAUAUGAUUAGUCAUGAAGCCAUUAACAGGUUCUCAGGUUUACAGUAAAUUAAAAGUUAUAUAGAGCAUAAUAAACUUCAUCCACUGGAACAAAGCAGUAAUAGAAUUCAUUCAAAACAAAUGCAACCAUCAGUUGAGUAGUGACGGAUUAUUUACAGAAAACCUAUGAUGCCCUUAUUAUACUUAUGGCUUGGAAAAAUGAAUAAACACAAUACCAGAGCACAUUGAACAAUUAUGCUGCAAAAUUAAAAGAAUAGGUAUCUACUCAGAAGGUAUUGAAUGAUUAAGGCCUUCAAAAAUUCAAUCUUCCAUGACAACAAAGCGGUACAUUUGUUUACUUCAACUAGUACUGAUUUGCUACACUAAUGCUUUCCUCUUCUUUUCCCCCCUUUGUGUGGGUUUUUUUUUUGUUUUGUUGGGGNNNNNNNNNNNNNNNNNNNNNNNNNNNNNNNNNNNNNNNNNNNNNNNNNNNNNNNNNNNNNNNNNNNNNNNNNNNNNNNNNNNNNNNNNNNNNNNNNNNNNNCCUUGUUUUGACUUACCAGAUCGAACAUCAUCACUAAGUUGGCCUCUUGCUUGGAUUUGUUUAACAAGCAUCCGAUACAUUAACACCCACCAGUAAAUGUGAAGAACGAGCAAGCAAAAGAGAAGAGUAUUGAACACGUAGUAGUAGAUUGGUCCUUCAACUCUGUGCUUCUCCUUGUCCAAUGCUUGGAGAACUUCAUAACUGCCGAAAAAGGAAUAAUCCAUAAUAUUUCAUCAUAUUUUAAGCUCUUCAACAUAUUAAUAGUUAUCAGAAACUAUAGAAUCUUAAAUUGGAUACUGAAAUUGAUAUUGAUACUAUAAGAAAAGGAAAGAAAAUAAGAUCAAAAAUGAGUAUCUCACUAAAGUGCAAGCAGUGCUACUGAACUAAUAAUAAGUAAACCAAUUAUCAAUGAAACAUUUAACAAUUGAAGUUUUGAACUAUGAAUUUUCAUCCAGAAAAAGAUGAUACUACCAGAAAUCUGUUUGAAUGAUGGCUACUAAUCAAAUAAUAAAAGAACAUAAUUGCCAUUAAAUAGCAUCACAUCUCCUGGCCCUAAGAACUACUAAGAUCAUGUAUUCAGGCUUUUAGCUUCUAGAAAUAUUCCUCAACUAAGAGCUAGAGACGAAACCUUGGGAAAUUAAGAUUUUACGGUAAAUUUAUGAAUCGGAAAGAAACCUGUUUGUUCAACGAUUUUGUGCACAGAUAGUAGAAGAUUAAGAUUCCAAGGUUAAAUAAAUAGAUAUAGGAGUUGUUGAAGCUAGUAUACAUAUGUAGAUAUACAUAAGUGUACCUAUACAACCAAAUGCUGCUGGUGGAGAAUGUAUAUAUAUCUUUUGAGAAUUUAUUCAGCAAUUAUGUUGUGCACCACCAGACUGAGAAAACCACCCUUGGUUCUUAAGUAAAGAUUAUCAAGUAACUGCCAACCAAUUAAUUAGGAAUGGAUACUGCAAGAAGCCACCAUCAUUCUAUCUCUUUGUUCUUCGUAUUCUACUUUGUUUCUUUUUCUUCUCAUGUUUUAUGUUAAAAUAUAACCAUAUUAAUCUUUCCAAUUUGAGAUAAUUCAGCUUGAUUAUACUUAACGCUAGUUGUCUCAUGUUCAAACCUAAAGUAAUUAGGUUUUUAAUUGCUAUUCAGAUUUAAGUUUGACUUGUGCAACCAUUUUUUAAGUCCUUUUGUUUCUGUUGUUGAAAAUUCAUACAUAAUUCUUAAUAAUGUAUAUUGGUUAGUAAAGAUGAGUUGGGUUGACACUAGUCUAGGUUUCAGAUUCCCAAUCAAAUACCAGGUGGCCAAGGUCAGAAAGACAUGCAGAAAUCAAAUGAAAUGAGUGUUAUAACCCUAUUUGGAUAUGAGAUAAAAGUAUUGUACUAAUAAAUUUUUAAAGAAAAACACCUGGCCCAACCCCAAAAGAUAAUGUGAAAGAAGAAACAUAGAGAUCCAAAUGAAUAAUCAUAAAAGAAUGCAACAGUGAAGAUAAAUAGGCUCCUUUAAAUUCCUAAAAUACCUUCAACAAUGGUAUAUCUUGAGGGUAACACACUAGUAGACAACAUUAGACUACCAAAAAAAAGUUGUUGACCGUGAUUGCUUCUUUAACUAGUCAAUUCCAUUUAUUAAUAUCUUCCUUAAUGUCUUAACUUCUGACCUAGUUAAGAUUUUAGAAUACAUAUCAAUUUUGACAAACCAUUUGACAUCAGAGCAAAGGAAUUUGCAAGAGUAUCAAUGAAUAAAUGUGAAAAAGCAAUCUACUCCACCUUGUACUCCAGAGGAUCCAAAAUGGAUAGUAGAUGAGGCGAAGUAGAACCCAUGAUAAAACAAACAGAAUAAAUGAAAAGCUAGCAAGAGUCUCAGUGCCACUAUAUUUGGACAUCUUCCCUACUUCAAGAAAUACAUCACUAGCAUCAUGAAGAGCCAAAACAACAGAACCAACUCGAGCAAACCUGCAAUAAGACACAUGAAACAAAUUUUAAAAAUUCCAUCUGCACCAGGUUAUACUAUUUUAGCCCUUUCUAGUACAUAUAUUAAUUUGAAUAAUCAUAUAUUCAUAUUAAUCAUCCCACAUAAUGCCAUUCCUUGAACAUAUUCCAACCUAAGUUGAAGUCAGCAUAAUUGAAAUUAGAACUGAAAAUGAUAAUUACAAAUUAAUAUCCUUCUAAGCAUACCUGAAUAUGUAAGACAACAUGAUGAGUAUCGCAGUUGCUACAUGAUGACCCAUUGACACCCCAAAAUCAGAACGCCUUGUUUCCCAAAAUAUCAAAGCAAAUAUGGAGUAUGUAUAGAAUCCACCAACAUACAUAUAAAGUCCUUUCAAUUUCAACCUGGUUAUCAUAAAAUGAGUCAACUCAGAAAUAGAAAAUUCUUACAAAGUAAAAGAAUAAAUCAAGAGCGACCCAACGUUGCUACAAAAAUUAUAUAAUCAUUGGUCUAUAAUUUUUGGAAAUCUUACUUAAUUUUAAGCUCUGGCCAUACUUGAUUUCCAGGUCCUGUCCAAAAAUUGCUUGUGUUAGUGAACCAAGGCUCAUCAUAGGUUACAGCAAGAGCUAGAAUCUCUGCUGAAAGGUAAUAAAUGCAUUUCCACGCUGAUUCCUUGAACUUUCGUAUCUUCUUUCUCCUCUCAUCUGUCUCAACAUCCAGCUUCUGAUUUCCCUUUCCAAAUAUCAACAGUCUUCCCACUUUCUGCAAAAUGUAAACAUUCAUUUUACUUUACAGUCUGAAUACAAAAAUUUCCAUUGAAGAGUUAAUUUUCUUUUUCUUUUUGGGUAGGAGGGUUGUGGGGAAGACCUGGCCAUGGAGCAGAUUGAUUCGAGAAGGUCAAUUACAAACAUAUAGAAAGAAAUCAACUAGUGUUGGUGUUGCUUAUACAUGGUGUUGGGAGAGGUAAACUAGAUAAUAUAUAUCCUUCAGCAUUUUUUUUAUGAGUAGCUAUCAUGCAGCGUUAUUUUUUAACAAAUUUUGUGUUCUUGAGCUGAACCAUUCUAUUUGCACCAAAAUAACAAUCCAAAAGAAGUUUACCAAGAACACUCCCCAUGGAAGGUUUAAUCUCGGUUGACGCAUAAGCUGGGCCGAGGACACCCUUACCGUUCAAACAAAAAAAAAGACUAGUUAUCUAGUAAAACCAACAUUGGAGGUUCAUUAAAUCUAUAUUUUUUGAAGCAGAAAAAGCUAUUGAAUCCAAUUUUUUAAAAUUUUAAAAUGAAUUUGUAUUCAGUACCAUUCUUUAAUAUGUAAUAUUCGCAUUCAAUUUUUCAAUCAUGAAAGUUGUAAAUUAGUAACUUGGGAUCAGUCUAAUAAUUGUUUAUCUGCAAUGGUCUCUGCAUGUGGUUUUAUCCUGAUUUUCCAGCUUAUCAUCUAUGAUGUUGCAUUCUAGGUAGUAACAACAUUGAGUCAGAUAAAGAAGAUACUUUCUGGGUAUGUUUGGGAUUACAAAGUUCUGGGAGUGUUGUUUGUUGGUAAUAAAGCAUUAGGGACAGAAACCAGAUGAGCAUUACCAUUCAUGUUAAAGGUACAAAAGGACAACUAAAAGAAGAUAAAACACAGGAUUAUUAGUUGGGAAAAAGAACUACAGCCCUAAAAUAAAAUAAGUUCCACAUUGUCAAUAAAAUGUACUAGCUAAGGAUUUAAAUAAAUAUGUAUUGUCUCUCAUGGUCCAAUUGGCCAUGGAUGACUAAUAAGUAAAAUCUUAGUUAGUAUUAGAUCAUAAAUCCCGUCUCAAUUAUGAAAUUAAGAUCAUGCAUUACUAAAAUGGAUAAAAUACCGCCUAAGAGAACAUCGAAUCACUCAAAAUCCAUGUGACUUGACGUAAAUGUCAGGGAAAAAUCUUGGUAGAAAAAGAUGCCACAGAAAGCACAGACAUUAAUAUGUUACUCCCUCCAUCACAAAAGAAAGUCCAGUUUCGAAAGUCUUAAAAAUGUUUGACUUUAGCAUAAUUAACGACUAAGAUCAUAAUUUAGACUUCGCAGGAAUCUAAUAUAAAGAAGAAGCUAUUGAAUCAAAAAGAUGCGCCUCUAUAGGUGUUUAUGGUGUAAAAUGCUUUUGCUGGGCUGAUUGGACCUUCUUUAAUAUUGGAGUGAGCAGUCUUCAUCUUUUUGGUUAUACUGUUGCAGUGAGUAAAUACAAAGUAUAAACUAUAAACAGAACUGUAUAUUCUGUUCUUUGUGCUUAAAAAAACAUAUAUCCAUAGCACAAUUACAGCUAGAAAAACAACAGAAUUUCAAAAAUUAACACAAAGCAAAAGGAUGAAUGCAAUAUUGGUCGACGAUACACCAUAUAUUCGUAAAGCAAUGAAUAGCAAAACGUACACACAGUGAGCUUGAUCAGUCGAUCUAAUAACCAAUUAUCAAACAAAGUGAACAUCAAUCGAAAGUAAAAGAAACCCACUUCAAUCAAACUGAUAAUAAAAUCAACAAGGUACCUCGAAAAUAAAUCUGUCGAGAAAGAAGCGCACUGUAGGGAAGAACAGGGCAAAUAAGGGAAGAACUGCAAAAUCUUCAUACUUUGGAAACGAUUCAUGUUCCCAAUCAAAGGAACCCAAAAAUUCAACCAAGUCCAUUACGGGUUUCCUCAGAAUAACUGUAUCUGUAUCUAUAUAAUUGGUAAGUAAAUCUCUCUAUAUAUAUACACGUAUAUAUGAAUAUGGAUGAAUUCUUGGGCAGAUCAAUGUCUAGCCCAGUAAGGUGAGAUCAAAUCGAGGACUUUAGCAAUGUAAUUGGUUGGUUAUUGUGUAUUGAACAGAUCUGUCUCCCCCACCAGAAUUAUUUAUUUAUUUAAGAUGCCAUUUGAUAAAUCAAGUCAAUUCGGCUUUGAGGUUGACAUUAUAAAAAGUUGGCAAUCGACUGGCGAUUGUUAUCUGGACCGGCGUACGAUUAGUAGAGUCCAGCAUGGUGGGAAGGCUUUGGGCUGCCCAAUAUCAGUUGAGAAAGAGAAUAGCUUUUAUGGUUUAAUCGUAAUCCAAAAACUGUGCAAUAUACAAUUUUUUUUAAUUACUUAAUGAAAAUAUGGCACCUUAAAUAAUUUUAUUAAUUAUUUAUUUAGAUUUUAUUUAUUUAUGAGAACCUAUUAUUUUGCAAUUCAUUUUAGAGAUACAUUUCAUUCUACAGCCUAAGGAAAGUUGGAGAAGGGGUCCGUAAAAAUCAGAGAGCAACUUAAGAGAAACUUAUUUUUAAGUAUAAAACAAAGGAAAUCAUAUAUUUAACUUUUGCCAAUUUCAGAAUGAAAUAAAAAUAAUAUAUUUGAUGAUCAUUUUUGAGUAUAAAUUAUUCCAUUCCAAUAGAAUGGAUUUCCUUUCAAUCCUGGCCUUAACAUUUUUACUGUGAUUUUCAAGUCCUGAGAACGGUUAAAUACAAACACAGAGAGUAUUACCAUUUGUGUAAUUUUUUAGCAGUAAAUUAAUUAGUCAUCCAAGAAGAAGUUUAAACUGGGGCCUCCUCUUCCAAUAGGCCAAGUUGUCUGAGGGAUGAAUGAAAUAAUAAAUGAUACACAAUUAUAAGCAUCUUAAGUUCAUCCCCUUGAAACAUCACUACCCCCUUGCAUCUUGUUUGGCUGGGCUUACCGAGAGAUGAUAAAAUCCAUGGCAGCCUAGCUGUAAUGGGACACACAUCGGAAGCUAAUGAUUUGUGUGCCUGUUUUUAGUUCGUUUUCUGAAUGUGCCUAUAUAGUUUAGUUAGUUCCUUUCAAUGAAAUAAACAAGUGUGACUGGAGCCGGGAUAUCUUACUUGAGGAUAAGUCCAUAAUUAGCUGAAUGUAUAUACAUACAACCUCAGUGAUUUGCAGGGCUAGUAAUUAUCAUCUUCUUUUUUAGAAGACAAAUCAUAUAUUUAACUUUUGCCAAUUCCAGAAGAAACCAAGUUAUAUUUCCGGGUAAUAGAAGCCAGAGAUGUGAUGGUGCUAAAAUUGAUAAUAAUAAUAAUAAUAAUAAUAAUAAUAAUUUCAUUUUGUAUCAUCAAUGUAGCGUUUUUUGCUUUUUGCAUGGAAGAUUCGCAUUUAUAGGAGUCGGUUUCCUUUCUAAGAAAAUUAGAGUCUCAGAUUUUCUUGUUCUGAACAAGAAUACUUUGUUUUUCAGUUGAUUACUCUCUUUUUGAUUUUCUGCUGUAUACUCUAGCGAUAGACAUGGACUCAUCCCAAGUCUGCGGAGUCAUAGAAGAAUAUAGUAGCAGUGAGUCCGGGUGGGCAAUGUAUAUAAACUCUCCCAACCACGAAAACAAGAAUGAGGAUGGAGGUGAUCACCAAACAGAUCAAGAAUCUGGGCAUGAUAAUGCAGAGUGAUGAUUCUAUGGCUUCAGACGCCUCUUCAGGUUCAAGUCAUGAUCAUCGUGUAACUUUACACACUAAGGAAAGUUGUGGCAAGGGUGAUUUCAAGUACGCAAAGGAUAAAAAUUUGGUCCAAACUUCACGCAAGAUACCUAGGAAACAGAUGGAGAAGAAGAUGUACAAAAGGAAGAAAGAAGCUGAGACCCAAGAGCCAAAACACCAGCCAUACAGAGCUAUCGGUUAUGGUCAAAGUGGAGCAAAGAAAAUCAAGUAGGAGGGCAGAAGACACUUCAUAGAUUCAGUGAGCACACAGUAGUGUAGUCAGGCAGUAUUAGCUAACUCAAGCACAUGUAUACAUCAUAAAUGUUCACGUGAUCCUUUGUUUCAUGUUCCAUGAUAUAUAAAAGUUUCAAAUGCGUGUGUAUAUAUAUAUAUAUAUAUAUAUAUAUAUACAUAUACAUAUACUUGUAUGAAUAUAUGUCAGACCAAACAUGCAAAAAGGUGAUUUAGAAACUGAUACAGAUCUAGGGUAGCAAAAAUCUAGGGAGCGAUAGCAUAGAGAUGGAGGAUGACAAUUGACAAACACCAAAAUACCAGGCAUUACUAUUAAGAAAAGACGCCACAAAUAUGAUAUUUGAGCUCUACCUCUUCUUGAAGAAAUAUUGUUGGUCUAUUGGUUUCAAAGCUCGUGCUCGUAGUUCAUCUAAAGGCAGUUCAUCUAGCUGAGGUCAAUAAUCAAUGGCAGCAUCAAUGAAAAGCAUUUGAACAUGAAAAAUUAAAAUUUAAGACUUCAUAUAACAAGAAAGUACAUGACCAGAAUAAAGAUCCACGGGACCCCCAGCAAACAUAUAUUGCUCUUAUAAUUAAGAAGAUAGGUCCACCACAAUAUGAAAAAUCAAACCAAAUCUAAAAGAAGUUACAACAAACAUAGAUAAUAUGCAAUUUAGACACUUUCAGUAUAUCUAGAAACAACAAUGCCAAGAAAAGUAUGACAAAAUGAAAUAGAAUCAAAUGCUCGGUCUCAAUCACCAAUGGAACAUUAUUAGGUAUAAAAGACAACAGUUCAAAAUGGUUGAAGACAACCAUCGGAAAUCAGAUCUUUGACUGUUUGGCGAUCUUGAACCAUUCAGUAUGGAAGGCCCCUGGUAUAUCAGUCCUCUCAUAUGUAUGAGCACCAAAAUAAUCUCUUUGCGCUUGAACCAAAUUAGCAGGCAGCCUUUCCCUUCUAUAGGUGUCAAAGUAAGCGAGACUAGAAGACAUACCCGGUGUGCUUAUACCUGCGUUGAUAGCAAGACAAACAACUCUUCGCCAAGCAGAUUGUCGCUCUAUCAUCUCCUUUGCAAACUCUGGAUCCACAAGAAGGUUAGCGAGAUCUGCAUUUCUAUCAUAAGCCUGCUUGAUGCGGUCCAAAAAUAUUGCACGGAUAAUGCAACCCCCCUUCCAAAUCCUAGCAAGCUCCCCAAGUUUUAAACCCCACCCCUUUUCAAUACUCUUUGCGCGGAUCAAAUUCAUUCCCUGGGCAUAACUACAUAUCUUGGAAGCGUACAGCGCUUGUCUGACAUCAUCAAUCAACCUCUUCUUAUCCACAGUUUGGUCAAUGAGGAUGUCCCCCACCCCGCCUGCUUUGAAGACCUCUGCAGCUGCAACUCUUUCAUCCUUCAAACCACUGAGGAAUCUUGAAUCCAAAGAUGAAGCUAUAGUAGGAGCAGCAAUAGACAGCUCAGCAGCUUGCUGGACCGUCCAUUUACCUGUACCCUUCAUGCCUGUUUUAUCAAGAACCUUGUCCACCAAAUACCCAUCUCCCUUAUCAUCCUUAAUUCCAAAUAUAUCUGCUGUAAUCUCGAUUAAGAAGCUCAGAAGUUCCCCCUUAUUCCACUCUGAGAAAACCUGAUGCAAUUCCUCAUUUGAGAGCUUCCCAACUGAUUUUAGUACAUCAUAAGCUUCUGAAAUCAGCUGCAUAUCACCAUACUCAAUCCCAUUGUGAACCAUCUUAACAAAAUUUCCAGAUCCACCUUCGCCAAUGUAUGUAACGCAAGGGCCACUGUCAGGAACUUGAGCAGCCACCUUGAGAAGGAUAUCUUCUAUAUUCUUAUAAGCCUCAAAGGAUCCUCCAGGCAUUAAAGAGGGUCCAUUCCGAGCACCCUCUUCACCACCCGAAACUCCCAUUCCAAGAUAGAGUAAGCCUAAUUCAGCCAUAGCUUUCUCUCUCCUUUCGGUGUUCUCGUACCACUCGUUACCACCAUCAAUGAUACAAUCUCCUUUCUCCAAGUAGACGGAAAGGGUUUUGAUGGUUUGAUCAACUGGUGCACCAGCCUUAACAAGCAUAAUUAUGACUCGAGGUUUCUGGAUUGAAUUAACAAAGGCCUCAGGAUCAUGGAAGCCGUACAAGGGAAGGUUUCCUUCAAGUUGGGCGCGUUCCACGGUCUCGUCAACUUUUGAAGUAGUUCGGUUGUAAACAGAAAUAGGGAAUCCUUUCUCAGCAAUGUUGAGGGCAAGAUUUUGACCCAUGACGGCAAGGCCAGCGAGACCGAUUCUUGUUGGGAGAGGAGCCAUUUCCUUUUCCUGUUUAAAACUUUACCAUCAGACAUCAGUAGAUUAUAUUUAUGGUUUCAUAAAUCACAUGCUAAUGGAGAGGAAAGUUCCAAUAACAUCGAAAAAUGGAAACAAAAAAAUCAUUUAAGGAACCAUUCUAAACAGGCCAGUAAAGUCUAUAUACUUGGGUGAAUCCUAACAAAACAGAACAAAAAGAACCCAAAAAUUCAAGACUUAUUGCAAAGCCUCCAUAUUGUUAAAAUGGAAUCUAAAAAAUCUAUUGGACAGACAAACAUAUCUCAGUGGGAAGGAAAUACAAAUUAACUGUUUAACCAGAAGAACUUGGAACUUAUUUCCAAGAUCCGUGCUACAUUUUGUUGCUUUGAGUAGGAAGUGGGAGAUCCAAUUCAAAUCCCGUAAUUGGUUGCUUACUAUAUUAAAAAUGAAUUUGGAAAUCCCCCAACUCUUCCCCUUCAUAUGGUCCAGUAUUAAAUUCCAAAGAUUCAUAACCUAUAUCCUACCUCCUACAUAGAUGAAUGGGUAAAUCUGAUCUACCUUAUCACAUUCAGCCAAAUAAUUACAAUAUUAUGAUUUCCUGAUCACUUCACCAACAAAUCAGAAAGUGACCUACAGAAGAUGUGCAAAAUAAAGAUUCAAAUAAAAGGAACCGGUUAUAUAAUUGAACCCCAUAUCAAAAGAAUCACAGAUAACUUAAUAGAAUGUUGCCAAGAAGAACCAAAUUUAUGACAAAAACGAGAUGAAAAUGAAAAAAAAAAUAACUUGCUGGUAGAAGUAGUAAAAAAUCAGUAACAAACACAUUAUAUACAUCCAAAGGUUCAAUCAAACUAUAUAGCAGAAAACAAAUCGGGCAAACAAAGUCCGGAAACUUUCAAAGGCAAAGGAAAAAGCAAAAAAACAACAUCUCAGCACUGAUCAAAGAUGAAAGAUUGAAUCUUGACAAGGAAGUAUUACCUCAGAAGAAUACAAAACUAUGAAACUUUACUUCAAAUGGUUCGAACCAGAGAAAUUUUUGGAUCUGAGCUUUUAAGAUCACACUCAAUCAAUCCGGUAGAAGACGAUUAUAUACUGGUAUAAAGAAGGUUCCCACACUAGUCUAUCUUCUGACUUCGGCGGAAGCCCAGUACAUUCACGCGCAAGUCAAAUUCGGCUGGCUUAUCGUUUUCCCCUAUCACCGGUGAAUUGGUGAUUGAUUUACCAAAUGCCCUUCUUUUCCCGCAUAUCCCAGCGGAUCCACCUACCACCAAACUACUCCUACUUAAAAGUUAAAAGGGAUAAAUAACGUUUUCUUCGAACUUUGAUUUUCAUUGUGAUUAUCGAAUUUUUUUUUAUUACAAUUCAAUAAUUAUACUUUCAAAAAUUUAUAAAAUAGUCAUUCCGUCCAAUUUUUCGUCCAAAAAAUAUUAAAAAUACUGACUGUGCAAGUUGACUUGACUUUUUUACUUACGUAGAACACAAAAAAGACAAGCAAGUAGAUUAUUAUAGCACAAAUGACCAAAACUAUUAAUUACUUCACCUAAACAAUUCCAAAACUAAUAAUAAUAAUAAUACUAAUAAUUUCUAAAUAAUAAUAAUAAUAAUAAUAAAUACUAUUAAUAGUAAUAAUUUUAAAAUUCUAUUUUUAAAUUUUUUUAAAAAAAAAUCUGUUAAUUUUAAAAAAGUCUUUUUUUUAAAAGAUUUUUUGUUUUUUAUAAUUCAAUUUUUUUUAAAAAGUCUGUUUUUUUAAAAAACGUUAAUUUUUUAUAAAAACAGAUUUUUUUUAAUUUUUUUAAAAACGUUAAUUUUUUUUAACUGAACUAAUAUUUUUUUUAAAAAGUUAAUUUUUUUUAAAAACGUUAAUUUUUUUAUAAAAACAGAAUUUUUUUUUAGAAAAUUAAUGUUUUUUUGAAUUUUUUUAAAAAUUUAACGUUUUUUAAUUUUUUUUUAAAAAAGUAACGUUUUCAAAAUUUUUUUAGAAAAGUAACGUUUUUUAAAUUUUUUUAGAAAAGUAACGUUUUUUAAAAAAAUUUUAGAAAAUUAACGUUUUUUAAAUAUUUAGAAAAGUAACGUUUUUUAAAUUUUUAAAAAUUAACGUUUUUUAAAUUUAAGAAUUUUUAAAAAAAAUAUUAGUUCAGUUUUAAAAAAAUUAAAAAAAUUCUGUUUUUAUAAAAAAUUAACGUUUUUAAAAAAAACAGACUUUUUAAAAAAAAAUUGAAUUUUAAAAAACAGAUUUUUUUUUAAAAACAUCUUUUUUUAAAAAAAGACUUUUUUAAUAUUAACAGAUUUUUUUUAAAAAUAGAAUUUUAAAAUUAUUACUAUUAUUAUUAUUAUUUUGAAAUUAUUAUUAUUAUUAUUAUUAUUAUUAUUAGUUUUGAAAUUGUUUAGGUGAAGUAUUUAAUAGUUUUGGUCAUUUGUGCUAUAAUAAUCCGCCUGCUUGUAUUUUCUGUGCUCCACGUAAGCAAAAAAGUUAAGUCAACUUGCACAGUCAGCAUUCCUAACGUUUUUUGGACGGAAAAUCGGACGGAAUGACUAUUUUGUAAGUUUUUGAAAGUACAGUUAUUCGAUUGUAAUAAAAAAAAGUUUCGAUAACCACAAUGAAAACCGGACCCCAGUAUAAUGACCAAAACGUUAUUUAUCCCAAAGUUAAAAGCAUGAUUUUUAAUACAAUUUUUUUUUUGUUAUAUCUGCACAGAUCAAAUACUACAUGAAAUAUGUAGAAGGACUAAUUUAUUAUAAAAAUUCCCCUUCUUUAAUUUUCUUAAUUUGUAAAAAAAAACAGAGACCUAAGAAAUUUCGAUAUACAAUCUAAACUGUAGCAAUAAAUUAAGGAUAUAUUUUUAAAUUGCCAAUUUUAAAAAUAAUAUUAAUUAUAAAUAUAGUAGUAGUACGUAGUGACAUGAGGCUAUAAUACUAUUCAAUAAUCAAUAAUUUUAAUAAAAAUAUAUAUUUAUUUGGAACAAACAUAAAAGAAAAAAGUAUGUCUCAUUUUGGAAUGAAAAGGUUAAUUUAUCCAUUCAUUAAAAGCAUUCUUAUUAGAAUUUAUGUUGAGAAAUAUGUCAAAUUCUAAAAUUCAAAUUGUAAUGUAAAUUUAUUUUAAUUUUUAAAAUAAAAAAUUUAUGCUUGGCAAUUUAUAAUAGUAUUAACUAUUGUAUUAAUGUUUACAUGAAUUUUGAAAUUUUAAAUUUACCAAAUUGAAUAUGAUAUAGAAAUCAAGUGGAACAGUAUUUGUGCAUGUGAAAAUUCAAUUGAUAAGAUUCACAUGCUAUUAUAACUUAAUAAAAUAAUAAGAAUUCCACAUAUCUAUUUUUAUUCUCAAAUCAAUCCAUCGUUUCAUCUCUAGUUCACCAAAGCCCUAACACGAAUAAUCUUUCCUGAAAAUUUCCUCUAAUAUUUUUUGAAGCUUUAGUAAGUUAUAAUGUUAAUUUAUUAUAAUGCUCUCUUAACUUAGUGAAAAAAUAUUUAUUUUUUUCAGAUAUGUAGUGAAGUGACCUAUGCGCAUGUCGCGUUAUCAAUUUUUGACGUGACACAACUAAUUGGUAGACAUUAAAAUAAAUUAAGAGAAAAAGUCCGGCCAAUUUAUUUAUUUUUUAUGAUUCCUAAACAAUUUAUAAUAUUUAUUAGAACUGAAUUUUUUAUAAAAUUCAGUGAUUUAGGUGUCAUUUAGAUACAUGUAAAAAACAUAAUUGUACAGUUCCAAAUGAGACCUAGAUCACUGAAUUCUAUAAAAAUUUCAGUUUCAAUAAAUAUUAUAAAUUGUUUGGGAGUCAUAAAAAAAAUUGUUAAAAUUUUUUAUGAGAAAGUGUUCAUGGUAGCAAUAUUUAAUGAAGCCUUAUUUUAAACAAUAAGUCCAUUUUUAAUGUCUAGCUAAAAAAUUUCUUAUCUAGAUUUCUCAGCUCAAUUCACCACCGUUCACAAACCUUAAGCUGUUGUUUGAUACAUGUCAUCUUAGCUCCUAAUCCUUAAUAACAUAGAUUUAUAUUUGAUAAUCUUAAUUUUUUUUCAUAAAUUAGAAAGUAGACCUGAUAAACAGGUGAGACAACGAUUAAAAGCUCGAUUUUUAUUGGGUUACAAAUGUAAAUACCAUGACCACAAUAAUGUGUACAAGAUAAUAAAUUCAUGAAAAAUGAUAUUUGUUUAUAAAAACCAUCAUUUAUAAAAUAUAUUUUUAAUUUUGGAUCCCAAGGAAUAUUUAAAAUUAUCAUAGGUAGUAAUUUCGUAGACAAUAUUUUAAUUUUAAAUUUAUUACUCUUUAUAAAGUUCAUUAGCAGUUGAAAGAACUUAUGAAGUAGUCUAGAUUUUAAAGUUGUAAAUAAAUAUUAUAAAAAUCAAAAAAGAAAGAAAAUAUAUACAAAUGAUUCUUCACAUUAAAGGUGAGACUCCACAAUUCUUUGUUUAAACUGUGUUAAUUUGAAUUAGGUUGUGUUUAAUUUCUUAUCAUUUGUUAAUUUGAGCUUGAAUCUAGAUAGUAGUUUGAAGAUGAUGCAGCAUCAUAUUAGUAUUAGCACGAAAUAAGAAAUAAAGGCUUGUGAGAAGUAUAUUGACAAAUACUAAUCUAAUUAGUUAAAGAAAAUUGCUCCAUCUAACACCCAACCCAAGAGCAUGCAUUCAAUGUUGCUAUAUAUAAGAGCAUCUCCAAACAAAUAGACAAACAUAUAAAUAUUCUUUUCGCUCUUAAAUCUAUAACCUCCUUUCUACUCUUCAAAUCUAUAAUUAAAGGCUAAAAAUAUUUAUUAUAUAUGUUUGAUAGGUCUGAUGUAUAGCUCAUUAGAUUGAAAAGACUGAUGACGCACAAAAUAUGAAAAUAACAAAUAAUACUCUUUAAAUUAUCACGUAGGUCAACAAAUAUUAAUUUGAAAAAUAUUUUUUACUCCUACUCUUGGAGAUGCUCUAAUAAGGUCAAAUGUAUGAGUAGAGAGACAAGAUGUACAAGCGAUGAAGGCUGUUGGAAAAAACUAUAAACUUAAUUUAGCUGCUUAUAAUGAGUUGCCUUUUUCAAAUGUUUUAAUCUUCUAGUACGUAGUUCAUUGUAUAUAUUAUUAUCCACUACUACCAGCACCUCCACCACCAUUUGUCCCAUUGCUCUGCUACAGUGAGCAAAAACAUGACUUAAUUUGGCCUUCCUUCAAACUACCUGCUGGAUCCUGUUUCCAUGAAGAGCCGGAAAUAUUAUUUAUCCCCAUAUUCAUUCUGUGAUUACGCAAAAUAUUAGAAGAGCCGGCCGGAAACUGGUGUUUUUAAAUAAUGAAUAUUUGUUCACGAGGAAAACUAUAUUUAUUUAGCUCCUUUGGUAUAUGGUUCAUGAUGUUAUAAACCUCUAUUUUCCUUUGAAUGAGACAAAUAUAUAGUAGCAUAAUUCAUACUUGAGAGAAUAAGGAAUAUAUAUAUAUCAAAAAGUGGAUAUAGAACAAACGUUAUUAUUCCAUCAAACGUAUAUAUAUACAUAUUUAUUUCUAGUGUUUUGUUGCAGUUUGUGACAAUUUGAGUGAUUAAUCUCGUUGAAGAAAAUUUGAGGAAUUUCUGAUGCAUUGGUUUGAAGAUUCAGCCCUGAGAUGGGCGGCUGUGCAAGGAAUUAAUCUACUCGAUCCAGAUGUCUCAAAUUAAACCGUCGUAAGUAAAUGAAAGUUGAAUGUCAGUUAGCCUGUGACGAAGGUCGGACGCCUCUUCCUUGAGCCAUGCAUUCUCUAGAAGAACUCUGUCAUGGCUCUCUGAUGCAUCAUUCAACUUGUCUAUGAGGUCCUGAUUCUCAGUUCUUAGACGCAGCACCUGUGACCAGAGCUCAUCUAGUUGUUUCUGCUUCCGCAUCCUUGACCUGCGAGCAGAUUCUCUAUUAGAAAUCAUCCUCCUUAGCUUUCUCUCGUCGAUGAUGCUAAGCUGAAGCUCAUGAUCAUCUCCUUCGUCUGAGGUUGAGUUAUUGCUGAUACACGAGGGCUGCGGAGUGAACUCAUGGACGGAAAGAGAGGUUUGAAAAUUCGGAAAGUUGUUUAAGAAGCUGCUGAAAGGGAGUGAUGGCAUGCUAUUAUCCUGCAUCAACCCAAAAUUAUUUGCAAAAUGGGUUGAUUUUUCUUGAGCUAGGGGGUGGUGGAUUCCUGCGAUCUCGGACCGAAAAAGCAUGGCUAAAUAUGGUUGGUGUAAGAGUGAAUUUGAAGGUUUAUUGUGCAGAUAGUGUAGAGAGGGGAUGGACAGAAUGAGGGGUUUUAUAGGAGGAUUAAACAAACAUAUAUAGUAAUAGCACUUCAAAUGUGUGUGAUGUAUGCAUGUAAUGAUUGGAACUGAUACUAUAUACUACAAGUAUAUGUGUAUGUGUGUGUGUGUGUUCAGUGUUGAUGCAUGUAUAUUUCUUGGAUAACGGAUAACUUGAGUUUUUGGAUAAUCAUUGAUGUAAUUCUUACUGGGGAAGGAAUGUUUGUGGUAAAAAUGAUGAAAAAAGUAGAGCCAAUGAGAAAAUAGUCUUUCAAAAUUCAUUCUAAAUGUUGUCCCCUUCUGAUUGAUGACCAAUUGUGGGUGACUGGAAAAAUUAGAGCCAUACAAUAAAAAUAGAAUUUUAAUUAGUGACCAUUUUUAUAUUAAUUCAGUGACUGGAAGGGCACUUCAAUUUAGAUUCAGGGGACCUAAUGAGUAUUGAAAAUAUUAGUAUUAAUUAUCUCGACAAUUAACAUCUAGUACGUAACUUCAUUUCUUCCAUUUUUUUACUUUUUAUAUUAUCAUGUUAUUACUAUUAUAUUUUUAAUCAAUCUUAAAAUUAAAAUUAAAAAAAUAUUAUUAAAAAUCUUCGUUUUAUAAAUAUAUCUACAAUAACAUUAAAAAUAGGAUGACUACUAAGGUUGAGUAAUACCAAUAAAACUAUUUUGUUCAGUUUCGUUUGAAGUUCUAUUAAUAUUACAAGAAUGCUCUACUCCAUAUAAUUAGCACUUGGCAAUGAUAAUUACCAGAAGUGCUGAAAUGUACUCGGCAUCUUUUAGGUUCUAAAUUCUGUCUCUUUCACACCAAAUUAACUAGCCGUCACCACAGCUUCUCACGUCUCUCUCUCUCUCUCUCUCUCUCUCUCUCUCUCUCUCUCUCUCUAACAUGCAUUCUUAUUAUAUAUAAUUAAGCAUAAUUAAGAUCGUGGUCAAUUAUUAUUCGGUAAUGGUUUAUAAUUAAUUAAUACAAGGAAGAAGUCAAUAUAUAAUACUGCCCUUGUAUGCUUUUAAAGGGUCAUUGUCAUUUAUUAGUAUUUCUUUGAAGAAUAAUUAUAUAUAUAUAUAUAUAUAUAUAUAUAUAUAUAAUUAUUCUAUUAUUCUUGAAAAAUGGAUCAAGAAAAGUGUAGACAAAUCUCAGAGGUAGCAACGUGCAACCGAAUUGAAGAUGUUCUAUAUAUUUAUAUUUAUAUGCAUGCAUGCUAGUAUUAAUUAUUAUAUUAAUAAACAGUUCGAUAUAUAUUAAUUCCACCCCUAGUACGUACUACUAUUAUGUUAUUUUAUAUGUUUAAUUGGUGAUUACCCACUAACCAAAUUAAACAUCCCUUUGGUGCAACUUGAUCCAACAAGAGAAAACUAAGAAUCCGGCCGGAACCGCAAGGUUCCACGCAAUCCUUGAAAUAUUUAAUUUAAAGGCUUCUACUAUUCUAUUCUCUAGUCAGUAGUCAUGUACUGCAUGCCUAAUCAAAUAAUUUUAGUUAAAACCCCCCACUAAUUAAAACAUCAUCAGCUAAUGGUGGAUUCCCUUUUUAGAUAUAUAUAUAUAUAUAUAUAUAUAUAUAGAGAGAGAGAGAGAGAGAGAGAGAAAUUAACGUUGAUCGAGAAUACCAAAUGUGUGCCAUAAAUCCCAUACAUUUUUAAAGAGUAAAUAUUAAUAUUACAUUUUGAACAAAGAGUAUUAAUUAUUUUUUAAAAAAAUAAUUUACUCCAUAAUAUUAAUAAUUUUAUUGACUAAAAUCUUAUUUACUUUUAAUAUUCAUUCGUUCGUGUUUGUAAUUUAAUUUUUUCAUUACUUGAACAAAUCACCUAAUAAAAACUAUGUUUAAUUACCUAUAAUUUUAAUAAGUUUUUUUCCCUUCCAGCUACACGUGUCUGCCAUGUGAGGUUUUGAAGAAAAUUUUUAUGAGACCUCUUGUCACCUUAACAAUGUCCCUUCUCAAGUUUCCAUCAAGAACUAAUUUGCAAGCUUUAGAAUUUGGUAGCAUCACUUAAAUUGUACCCGCGUGUGGGUUUUUCUCCACUUUUCCCCCACCCAAACAACCCAAUUAGUUAUAAUCAAGUAUACUUUCUUUUUUAUCAUGACGAUUAGGUCAUUGUGUUGCGAUAUAUAAUAUAUAUUGGUUCUAAUAGGAUAAGCUCAUCAUCUUAAUACCCUCUUGCGCGUCUUUUAUUCAUCAAUACUCGUGCAAUUUUAUAUGUUGAUUUUUUAAUUACGAAUUACGUAGAUAAUUAUAUAAUUGAUAAUAUUUUAACGAUAUAUUUGAAAUAAUAUGCUAAUUUUAUAAUUCUAUUUAUUGAUAUAUAUAUAUAUAUAUAUAUAUGGAUUCCAUUCAUAACAACCGGUUGUUGGGAGCAACUCAUUUUUGGCCAGCCGCUACAGCCUGUAGCGGCUUAUAAAAAAAAUAAAAAAAUUANNNNNNNNNNNNNNNNNNNNNNNNNNNNNNNNNNNNNNNNNNNNNNNNNNNNNNNNNNNNNNNNNNNNNNNNNNNNNNNNNNNNNNNNNNNNNNNNNNNNAUAUAUAUAUAUAUGUUAUAAUUGUACGUGGCAAAGACUCUUAAUUUUUUGGCCACAAGAUUAAUAUAUAAAUAUUCAGUUCUUAAUUACCAUCUUUCCAGAUGUUAUUAGAAUAAUGAUACGAUAAUAAUUAAUGGCAAAAAUUGUUGUUUAAGGUUGUUUAUAUAGUUGGUCAGAUUAUAAUGAUAAUGAUAAUGAUAAAUUGUUCAUGGACGACAAUGCUUUUGUAAGUCCAUUCUUUAAGUGUGCAUUAAACUUCAAUUCUUUAACUUUGUUUAUGGUAAUGGCCAAUGGGAUUCGAUAAUUAUGGAUUAUUUAAAAAUAUUUUAUGUGGACAUCGUGCUCCUCUAGGCUCUAAUUAUAUAUGCUUCCACUUGUCAAGUUGUAUAUAGAGACUCUAUUUGUGAUCAGAUUUUAGAAUUCAUGGCCCUCCUUACGUUACGUACCUUACUAAUUAAGUUUGUCAAUUCCUAAAUUUGAUUGUCCUCCACGGCAAUCAAAUUUAGAAAUUGGAUUUAAUGCAAAAAAAAUUUAAUCAAGAUCGACUUUAUUAAAUCAAAUUAAUUUUUAAUAACUGAAGUUGUUAAAAGUCCGUGUAUAGCAGAGCCAUAGGCAUGGUGUCAUACAUUUGGUAAUAUUUCUCGUCUCACCACUUAAAAUAUCUUACACACUCUUUUUCAUGAAACAUGUUUUUUUUUUUGCCAAUAUUUUAUUCUAAAAUAAAAGAACUCUAUUUUUAUUUUAUUUUAUUUUAUGAAAUAGGAGUAUAAAAUGACACAUGCAGUGUGCUCAAAUUAAUCGUUACUACAAUUUUACUACAUUGACGUCAUUCUGAAGUUUAAAAUGUACACAUAAAUAUGGAAUAAAAAUAAAUUCUUCAACUUUAUAACUUUGAUGGAUUAAUUUUUGUGGGACAGACCAAUGGAGGACUUGCAAAAGUUUCUAGAAACCAUAGUAUUAAUUAAUAUACGUACAGAGUUUUGCUAAAUUACUUGCAAAAAUAGCUACCUAAUCUUAUAUAUUGUUUGAAUUUUCUUUUAUUAAAGAAGUGGAUGACUAAUACAUUAAGGACUCGUCAAGAACUUAAUUAAUCCUUGAAUCCCACCACGGCCACUACCAGAAACUAAGUCAAUUCUUUAAUGACAUCAACUAUAUACACACAUACAUAUAUAACCGUACGUAUUCUCAAAUUUGUCAUGAUGGAAGUGCUUAUUGCUUUAUUUAUUUAUGGUCAUCUUUGAACCUAAUGGUGUGAAAAUGUCAACUUCAAUGCUUUUUGGUGCUUCCAGUAAUGGCCUUGUGACACUAAGUUGGGCUUUGAAUUCUUUUUAUGAAAGUGAGGGAGGGAGUAAAUUGAGGUAUAAGUGCAGAAAAUGAAAUGAAAUCAUUAAUUAGUUAAUGGGUUCAUAUAUGCACUCAUUUUCUUCAAAACUAUUACUCUCUCCCUCCCUAAAUAACUGACGUUUAAGAAUUCUUUGCAACAAUUAAAAAAAAUUAAACAUGACUCUUUUGUCCUUAAUAAAUAAAUUAACCAAACAAGAAAUAAUUACUCCACCACGUUAAAAUCUUAUCAGUUCUAUUUGUUGCCAUAAUUGUUGAUAGAAACAAGGAAGAAGAUGCAAGGCCAAUGGCUCAUCCAAAAUUUUUUGCCGCUAAAUUUUUGCUUCAAUUUUCUUUUUCGCUCUAAUAUAUUGUUGAUACCAGCAUAAAGAAAGAAGCUUGAAGACGUCAAUUGCUUGACUUCUGCUACUCACUUAGGAAGCUUGAAGACGUCAAUUUUUUUCCUGUAUCUGGUGAAGACUUCUGCUACUUAUUUAGGAAUCCAUGGAGAUGAACAAUUGGCUUCCUAAUCAUAGCAAGGAGGCAUUAGGAGACAGAGUUUGAAAAACAAUCAAAUUCAUCCCCAACCACAUGAACUAUACAGAAACUAAGAAACCUGUAACCAAAUUUCAAAUGACAAAGUCAUUUUUCUAGCAACCAAAUCCUCUCAAAUUGAAGUUUGUCAUUCUCUCAAAUUGAAUAGAUUGGUUCUUGGUUUGGGGCAAGUGAUAUUGCUAUAUCCUAUAUUUAUUCAGCAAGACAAUGCAAGAACUCAUAUUGCUUUGAAUGAUAAGGAAUUUUGUCAAGCUGCUGCACAAGAUGGGUUUAAUAUUUGUUUGAUGUGUCAACCUGCAAAUUCUCCAGAUUUGAAUGUUUUGGAUCUCGGAUUUUUCCAUGCCAUUCAAUCAUUACAACAGAAAGAGCCUAUUAAAAAUAUUGAUGAGCUGGUAAAUGCUGUGGUGAAGGCUUUCAACGAUUAUCUUACAUUGAAGUCUAACCGUAUAUUUUUGUCAUUACAACUGUGUAUGAUAGAAAUAAUGAAGGCCAAAGGUUCGAACAAGUACAAGAUACCACAUAUCAAAAAAGCAUUGUUGGAAAGAGAGGGCAGCCUACCGACUCAAAUAAAAUGUGAUUUUGAAUUGGUACAAGAAGUUAUGAAUUAUCCAACUCCAUUUGAUGUAGGUAUGACUUGAAUUUUUGUAUACUAAUAUCUGUAAUUGUCCUUAAAUAGGUGUUGGUUGAUUUAAUUGGUUCUCACAUUGUUCUACAGACUAACUCAAGUGCUUUUCAAUUUUAAGUUAGAGGCCUUUUGUAUGCAGUUGCCAAGAGCUUCUUAAUUUUGGUACUACAGACUAACUCAAGUGCUUAAUGUUGGUGUUUUUAUGUUGAAAAUGUUAUUAAGACUGCUUAAUUUGGUUUUAACAAUGUUGCUUAAUUUUGGUUUAUUCUGGUGGAUGCAUUCUCUUCAAUCUACUGUCUUGAUCAUUGUGUUCUUAUAUUGAAGUUAAAAUUCUGCUGGUGUAUGAAUUUUGCUGAAAACUUCUUUUAAAAAUAAUGUAUGAUUCUAACAGGAGCAGUUGGGAAUUUUAAGUUAUAAAUGUAUUUACAAUCUAUAGUAGAUUUGCUAAUGAAUAGGCAGUUGCCAACCGACCUGGUGCAUUCACUUCUUAUCAGUCCCAAACUUCACAAGAAAUACAUUAUAGAUAGUACAAUUUUUUGCUUUGGAUGUCAUUACUAAUUUCAAUAUGCGAAAUUUAGUUGUAUUUCCACUAAUUCAAUGAUUUUUCACUCGGUAUACAGGAUGCAUGUUGAGAAUGUAAUUUUAUGGCAAUCUGGCUAUACCAUAAAAAUAAUUCCAUGAAGCCUUACAUUUCAAGGUUACACACACCAGGAUUCAAAACCACAAGAAUGCAAAACACACGCCGAAGCACAAAAAAAUACAACAGCAGAUGGAUGAAAACAGUAUCUACUGUAUCUUCCUUCAUGUUCUAUUUUCAGGAAGCAACUUUAGAUGGGGGCAUGACUAAAGCAUUGCAAUGUUGACAUAAGGUUUAAGACAUGUGAACCAUCAGCCAAUUUUAAUGUGUUGUUGCUAAUGAGAAUAGAACUCUCUCUUGUAAAUCUUUUCUAUUAGAUGCUCAUUCAUGAAACUCAAUAAAAGAGCAGAGCUACAAAUAGAUUUUAAUGUAUAAAAUUAUUAUAUAAAUAUUAGACUCAUUCUGAUGGAUUCCUAUGCUUUCUAAGCUUCAUUUUCUUUGUGCUACUAUUCGAGAUAAUAAUUUUGGUAAGCUUGAAUAACAUCCUCAAGCUUCACUUGAACAUGAAGCCAUUAGCAAUAAGAUAGUCAAGACCAUUAAAGAUAUGGCUACAAAAAAUCACCAAACUCAUCCUCCAACUCAGUACCCUUCAAAUGCUAAGUUGCUUACUUGAGAUAACAGUAAUUCUUCACAUUAACCUGAAAGAAAAUUGAAAAUUCUGACAUGAAAGAGGAAUAUGACAAGGUCAAGGCUAUGCUUUCAAACAAACACAUAAUACGAUCUCCGAAUACAGGCCAUGCAAGCAUUUGAUAAUAUACUCUAUUUUUUUUCAUUCACUAAAUGAUGAUUUUCAACAAACAGAGAGUUCAUUCAAAAAUUUAACAUUACAACUGACAUGGUUAAUAAAAUUUUGAAAGAUACACUUCAUCUUCAUCUUCAAUUUGGGUUUACAAUAUACUCUGUUUUUUUAUAUUCUCUCUCUCUAAAAUUCCUGUUCUACAAAAUACUCCAUGUUGUUCUCGAAACUCUCUUCCUGCCAGGAAAGUAAAUAGAUAUUAUUAGAUUCGCUAUAUUCAUUGUAUAGUAUAAUUCCCAUAUAAUCCCAUUUACCUAACUUAGCCUAACUAUCCUACGAUAGUCCCACAAAUCAAGCAGAAUAGAAUCCUUCCCAUAUAUUAAGGAUUCUCAUGUAUCAAUUAGUUUGUAUAACGAAUCCUUCCCAUAUAUUAAGGAUUCUCAUGUAUCAAUUAGUUUGUAUAAAUAUUAACCUUAAAGAAAUAAAAUACUCAGGGAAAUAAACUCUUUUAUGGUAUCAAAGCCUCUUCUUCUCCAAAUCCCCUUCUUUAUUCUUCCCCAUGGCUACCCUUCACCCUGCCCUUGCUAUAAACAACAUCAAAAAUCAAAUUCCCGUCAUCUUAGCCAUGGAUAAUGAUGAAUACGAUACCUGGGUGGAGUUGUUCCGUCUCCAUUGCACUGCCACCCUGGUCCUCGACCACAUCCUGCCCCCCGCCCGAUCCACCGACCAAUCCCCCUACGGACCCCGCUAUCUAGGCUCGUCUGGAUGCCGUCGUCCUCCAGUGGAUUUACGGAACUAUCUCCAAUGAUCUGCUCCACACCAUCAUUGCCCCAAAAUCCACCGCUCGACAGGCGUGGAUAAGUCUGGAAAAUAUAUUCCAGGAUAACAAGGCCACCCGUGCUGUAAGUUUGGAGCAGGAAUUCAACACUAUCCACCUCAAAGACUAUCCGUGUAUCACUGCAUAUUGUCAGGCCCUGAAAAAGCUCUCUGACCGUCUCACGAAUGUCGGCGCUCCGGUCACAAAUCAACGACUGGUCCUCCGGCUCAUCGUCGGCCUCAACUCCAACUACGAUGGCAUUGCUACUUUCCUUUCUCAAAGCUCGCCCCUACCAACAUUCUCCGAGGCCCGUUCACGAUUAAUCCUUGAAGAAACACGAAAAGCUAAUCAGGCUGCCAUGGAGGCAACCACCGCAGACACUGCCUUAUAUCAUCAGUCCCCGCCAGACCCGAAACUGGACAAUUCGUUCACCCACAAACGUCCAAAUUUCCGCGGAUCUGGCCACGGUAAGGGCCGUAACAAUCGCCGCCAGGGUCGUGGGGGUGGCCACGAUGCAUCCUCUGGUGGCUCCUCUGCUUCUGCCAUUUAUCCCUAGGCUCCAUAUCAGCCGUGGAGAUGGGGGUGGGCCCCACCUUGCCCCUACCCCACCUCUGUCAAUCCGCGCUCUCCACCGAGCCGCUACCAUGGCAUACUCGGCCGAGCACCGCAACCCCAGGCCCAUGUUGCCUCAGCUGCUGCUCCCGACGGUCCUUCCCCGACAGACAUCGAGGCUGCGAUGCACACUUUGGGUUUAACUCCUCAGGACCCGAAUUGAUACAUGGACACCGGUGCAACUUCUCACAUGACUCCGUCUCAAGGUAAUCUCUCAUCUUAUUUUAAUUUGAGCACUAAAAGAAAUAUAAUAGUCGGUAGUUGCCAAGGAAUACCAAUUCGGGGCUACGGACAGGUCACAUUACCUCCCAUUUACCCUCGCCUUAAACUACAUAAUGUUUUACAUGCCCCCAAGCUCAUUAAAAAUCUGAUUUUCGUUCGCCGUUUCACUACCGAUAAUAACGUAACAAUUGAAUUUGACCCUUUCAGUUUUUGUGUGAAGGAUAUCCGGACGAGACAACCAAUCUUGAGAUGUAACAGCACUGACGACCUAUACCCUCUACUACCCUCCCCUACCACCCAACGCAACCCGACAGCCCUAACCACCACAGCUCCGUUUUUAUGGCACGAAUGUCUGGGACACCCGGGGCCAGCUAUUCUUCGUUCAUUGCGUCAAAAUAAAUUAAUUUCUUGCACCUCUAGAAAUAGUUUAUCUAAGUGUCAGUCUUGUAUUUUCGGGAAACAUAUUAAGUUGCCAUUUAUUGAUUCUUCUAGUCAAACAUUGUCUGCUUUUGAUAUUAUUCACAGCGACUUAUGGACCUCACCAGUUUUGAGUACUGCAGGACACAAAUACUACUUAGUAUUACUUGACGAUUAUACAAAUUUCUUGUGGACCUUUCCAAUUGGCCAAAAAUCCCAGGUUUAUCCCAUAUUCUUAACUUUCGCAAAAUAUAUAAACACACACUUCAAUAAACAAAUAAAAAAUUUCCAAUGCGACAAUGGCCGAGAAUAUGAUAACUCAAAUUUUGCCCAGUUUUGUAAAAACCACGGAAUGAGUUUCCGUCUCUCCUGCCCCCACACAUCAUCUCAAAAUGGUAAAACCGAACGUAAAAUCCGCUCCAUUAAUAAUAUCAUCCGCAGAUUACUCCACUGCGCAUCCAUGCCCUUUUAUUUUUUGGCAUUAUGCGCUCCACAUGGCAACCUACAUAUUUAAUAUACUUCCCAGCAAGCUUCUUGCUUACUCCUCCCCAACCCAACUCUUAUAUCAACCCACACUUUCCUACACACACCUCCGUAUUUUCGGCUGUUUAUGCUAUCCCCUAUUCCCACCCCCCACCAUACAUAAACUCCAAAAACACUCCACCCCGUGUGUGUUCUUAGGAUAUCCCCCCAAACAUCGUGGAUACAUGUGCUACGACCUCUCUAGUGGCAAAAUUAUCAUAUCCCGCCACGUGAUUUUUGAUGAGUCCAAUUACCCCUUUGAGGCUGCCCCGUCCGCUGCCCCCACUCCACUCGCCAGAGUCGAUGAUGACCCUUCCCCUCUAUUACAUGAGCUCAUUGACCCCACCUCGGGUGCCCCAUGUACGACACCACCUGUCUCCCCCACUCGGACAGAUCCACCGCGGCAUGACUCCCCACCCCCUGUACCAUCAAAUACCACCACAACCUCCCCUAUCACAACCCCAUUCCCUCCCUGGACAAUGACCACUCGCGGUAUGCGCGGCAUUUUCAAACCAAAAUAUCCCCUUAACUUAUCUAUUAUCUCCAGCCCUUCCCCCAUACCUCGUAACCCAAUCAGUGCCUUGUCCGACCCGAAUUGGAAAUAGGCCAUGCUCGACGAGUACAAUGCUCAUAUUAUUAAUAAGACUUGGGUAUUAGUUCCGAGACCACCUAAUGUGAAUAUAACUCGGUUCAUGUGGGUUUUUCGGCACAAAAAGAAAUCUGACGGUUCUUUUGAACGGCAUAAAGCCCGUCUUGUUUGUGAUGGCAGGUCCCAGCAGGUUGGCAUCGAUUGUGAUGAGACGUUCAGCCCAGUUGUCAAACCGGCCGCCAUUCGUGUAGUUCUCAGUCUUGCUCUGUCUCGAUCAUGGACUAUUCACCAACUUGACGUCAAGAACGCUUUCUUACAUGGCCAUUUGCAGGAAACAGUCUAUAUGCAUCAAACUCCUGGUUUCCGUGAUCGUCACCAUCCCGACUAUGUCUGCCUAUUGAAGAAAUCCCUUUAUGGCCUCAAACAGGCUCCACGAGCUUGGUAUCAGCGAUUUGCUGAUUUUGUUUCGACUAUUGGCUUCACUCACAAUCGGGUGAUCAUUCCCUAUUUAUUUAUCAUAAUAAUAAUGACACCGCCUAUCUGCUCCUCUAUGUUGAUGACAUCUUGCUUAUUACCUCAUCUGACAAGCUCCGCCAGUCAAUCAUGUCUCGUCUUGCCUCCGAAUUUGCCAUGAAAGACUUGGGUUCCUUGAGCUAUUUUCUAGGUAUCGCAGUAACUCGACAUAAGGAGGGCCUUUUCCUGAAUCAACGCCAAUACGCCAAGGAAUUAAUUGAGCGCGCAGGUAUGACCGACUGUAAGCCAUGUGCCACUCCCAUUGACACCAAACCAAAACUUAGCUCGGUCUCUGGAUCACUUUAUAGCAAUCCCACAUUGUAUCGUAGCCUUGCAGGUGCCUUGCAAUAUUUUACAUUCACCAGGCCAGACAUCUCCCAUGCCGUUCAACAGGUAUGCCUACACAUACACGCACUAAGCAAUGACCAUAUGGCUAUUCUUAAACGUAUCAUCCGCUACGUCAAAGGAACAAUAACUUUCGGCCUUCACCUUUACGCCACCCCUGCUACUGAUCUUGUAUCUUACACCGAUGCCAAUUGGGGCGGCUGCCCAGACACCAGAAGAUCAACAUCCGGGUAUUGUGUUUUCUUGGGCGAUAACUUGGUCUCUUGGUCCUCUAAACGCCAACCAACCAUGUCCCGCUCCAGUGCUGAAGCUGAAUAUCGGGGCGUUGCCAACGUCGUCUCUGAAUCCUGUUGGCUCCGAAAUCUACUACUUGAGCUCCAUUGCCCCCCACGAAAAGCUACAAUUGUUUAUUGUGACAAUGUGAGCGCCAUUUACCUAUCCGGCAACCCUGUCCAGCACCAAAGAACUAAGCAUAUUGAAUGGAUAUCCAUUUUGUCCGUGAACAGGUUGCUCGGGGUCAAGUUCGUGUUCACCACGUACCGUCCCGUCAUCAAAUUGCUGACAUCUUCACUAAAGGUCUUCCGCGCGUGCUUUUCAAUGAUUUUCGGGACAGUCUCAGCGUUCGUGAACCUCCCGCUUCGACUGAGGGGGUGUAUUAGAUUCGCUAUAUUCAUUGUAUAGUAUAAUUCCCAUAUAAUCCCAUUACCUAACUUAGCCUAACUAUCCUAUGAUAGUCCCACAAAUCAAGCAGAAUAGAAUCCUUCCCAUAUAUUAAGGAUUCUCAUGUAUCAAUUAGUUUGUAUAACGAAUCCUUCCCAUAUAUUAAGGAUUCUCAUGUAUCAAUUAGUUUAUAUAAAUAUUGACCUUAAAGAAAUAAAAUACUCAGGGAAAUAAACUCUUUUAGAUAUGAUUAAUAAAAAUUAGGGAGAUAGAUCUUCAACAUAUCCAUGAUAACAUCUUGAAAUUUUUCUUCACAAACUUCUUCGGCUACAUUUGGAAACUUGUUCAAAUCGAAUCCGAGAUCCGCAGGUUGAUUCAAAUCAAAGUUUCUUGGAACUUUGAUAUUUUCAGAAUCAAAAUUCACGAAAUCUCCAUUUUCUUGCAUUUUCAAUCUAUGGAGUACUGUGUUUUAAGAGAAGAAUUGCAGGUAUGGUUUCUUAGUUCCAUACAGGUCAAGCAAUCAAUCCACUCUUGGAAACCAACGAGAAUGUCAAGAGCUUUUUUUCUUUUUUGAACCAGAACCAGAAGACGCUAGUACUAAGAAGAAAGGGUAGUAUUGGAAUAAAAGUGGACAAUUUAGCUUUAAACUUUUAAAACAUCUAUUAUUUUAAGAAAAAUAAAAACUCCUUAAACGUCAGAUAUAAUAGGAUGGAGGGAGUACUACUUUUUUCAUUGACCGAGUGCUGAUAUUCAUCAUCCAUCAAAAUAUAUAGUCCUUUGAAUUCUAGUCUCCAAUACUCUGGGAAAAAAAAUAUCAGCUGAAGAAAAAAAAUACAAAGUGCAUGCAUGACUCACAUGUUACAACUUAUUUUAAAUUUGAUCAUAAAAUGGAAAGUUUUUAUUUAUUUUUGCCGUGAUGUUUAUGAAUGGUUCCAAAUAUUACAAAGAUUUUUAUCUUUGAACUGUUGGAGAUGGGGUUACUUCGAUGGUUCGUUCAAAUAUUUUUAUUUCACAAAUUACUACUAUUUCAGAUACGUCAUGGUGUAGGAUUUUUUGGAUACGCACACGCACAUAAAAUAAAUACAAAACUUCCUAUUCCCCAUCUUCGUCGGUAUAACAAUACAUUCUACCAGGUACAUAUCAGCAAUAUGUCAUCUGCAGUAUAAUAAUAUAUUCACAGUAUAAUUAACUUACCCUUAACCUGACCCUGACAUAUUGCCAAGUGUUUGAGAUUAAUUACUUAGCUAUAACCUUGUUCGACGAUAACUUAAAUGAUACAGACGGAGGAGUUAACUUACCUCCUCCUUAAUUCUUGUUCUUAAUCUUAUCCUUGGACCCUUCACGAGGUUUUUGUGUUGUUCCUUCCCCUAUCUCUUAGGACUUAGGAGUCAUUAUUAGGGUUGGCUUCCUUUAGCCUACUUUAUCUAGAUGCAUGAGAAAGCUCCAUCUAAUAACAGACUCAAUAUUGACGUCUUGCUUCCAAAGCAUAGUGCUUACAAUUAUCACCGGACAUGUGUAUGUUGUGUUGCAGGCCGGUUAGUGAGUCUAGUCCUCACCUUUACCUUCAUUGUCCUGUAAAAUGGGAGAUUAAUUUGGCAUAACAAUCAUCCGCCGAAUCACAAGUCCCCCCUCGUACGUAUUUUUCUUCAUUUCCUCCACCAGAUGCCUUUAACAAAGACCACCCUCCUGCACACACAUGUACAUACAUAUAUAUAUAUAUAUAUAUAUAUAUAUAUAUAUAUAUAUAUAUAUAUAUAUCAUAAUAUGAAUAAUUAAAGAGAGAGAGAGAGAGAGUAAUUAAUUACCAGGUACAAGAAGAAUCAUGAGGAUGAUCAAGUAAGCGAACUUGUUGUAUGAAGCCUUCAAGGCCAUAUUUUUGUAUAUAUGCUACAUACCAAAAAAUAAUGAAGUUCAUAUAUAUGGAGUAUAUCGCUUGAUGCACGAAUGAAUAUGUAUAAGGAGAGCCAAAACGUCGUCCUCUAUAAUUAAAUGAUGAAAAUAAUUAAGCUGAAUUUCCUAACCCUAUUAUAUAUAUAUAUUCACUUAUACGUGAAAUAAAAAUCAUUAAAGAUACUCUCCACUCUGCAAAAAGAUAUUCAAUUAUUUUUUUUCUAUUUAAUUUACAAAAAGAUAUAUAUUUGUGUAUCAAGCAAUAUAUAUGAACUUCAUUAUUUAAUUUGAGAAUAUUCAUUCUGCAAAAUACGUUGCCCUUGGUCAUGAUGUAUACACCGGUCAAAAUUUGGUCAAACUUAAAUUGUUUUUUUUUUAAUUUUUCUUAUCCUAGCUGAUGUUAUAAAAAAAGUUGUUUAGGACUAUAAAUAAGUACGCUUAUUAGGGGUGCUUGUGAACAAAUACGUUUUGUUUAAUUGAGAAUAUUAUUUUUCGUUCUCUUUAUGAGUUCUUUAUCUUUUUUUGCGGAUUCAAGCUAGGAUUUUUAUUCUGUUCUUGUUGGUACGAUAACCUUCAAAUCACUUUUGUGUUAGAGCGUUACAAUUUAACCAUUAUUAAUUCUGCUACGUAUGAAAGAUAAAUUAAAUAAUUUAAAUUUUAUUGUAGGGAUAAUAUGAUAAACUAAGUCAAUAUAUUAAUGCUUUCUUAAAAUAUAAAAACGAUAAAUAAAAAGGAACGAAUUAAAUUUUACUCUAUAGAAAAACAAAUACAAAAAGAACGGAGAGAAACUAAUUAAUAUAGACGUAUUUCGUGGGAAACUGACAUGUUAGAAAAUUAAUUAAGAAAGCUAAAACUCAAUAUUUAAGGUAAGCUAUAAAUUUAUGUUAUAUUUAUUUUUAAAUUAAUUUAAAUAAACGUAUUUAAUCGUGUUAAACGUGUCAAUCAGCUAAUUAUGCAUGUGAUUGACACAUUUAAAUUUUGUGGUAAACGUGUUGAUAUGUUUAUGACAUAAAAAUUGUUUACACUUAAUACUAACCCUCUCUAAUUGUAUGUUGUGUUAGUGUCGAGUUACCGUGUCAUGUUAGAAAUUGUCACUCCUCAUAUAAUUAAAUAUGAUAUGCAUGGUGAAUAGUAUGAUUUAAAACAGCAGUUCAUCAUAGAAACACAAGGACAUCAUACAUUAGAAUUUAUGGAAUUGGUAGUAUCAACAUAAAAAAGUGUUCUAUUUUUUGAAAGAGUACUGUAGAAGACUGAAAUAUAUCAAAUAUAUUAUGUUUUAAUGAAAAAAAUUACAAGUGAUUCUUGUUGAAUGAAAAAGAGGCCGGUGUCAUUGAUUCUUGUUGAAUGGGGGAUAAGACCAUAUGAGGAUUGAAAACAAUGUUUGGAACCUAAAAAAAACUGUCUUAUGAACAUAUCCACACUUUAUAAAGAAUUAAUCAAGCGUAAUUAAUUGACCAAUUGUUAAGUAAAGUGGGCAAAUUAAUUAAUCCUUACAUAAAUAAAAGCUAUAUAUAUAUAUAUAUAUAUAUAUAUAUAUAUAUAUAUAUAUAUAUAUAUAGAAUAUUGGACAAGACGGGGCAAAAAUUUGCAUAAACAAUAUAAAAAAAAUAGAGAAUUAAUAUUUUUAUUUUACAGUGAGAUCUAGUGAGGAGGAAUUUACGCAAUUAAUAUUUUUAUUUGUAAAAAUAUCAAUUAUCAAAGUCAAUAGAUUGUAAUAACUCGCGUUUGUUAUAAAACUUAACAUCAUCAUAAUCCAUAACCAUAGCCAUAGAGAGACUCACGCACAUAAAAAACGAAGAAGAAAAAGGAGAGGUAGAAAUUAUAACAGCUGGAUUUUAUAUAUUGGUAAAUUGAUUGAUAAUUAAUAGUGAUGACAUGGAUCAGAAACACGCGCAGGCGUUUCGUAUACACAUUGGAGCCAAGGUUCUACCACAGCACUGACGGCAGUCAUUGAGAUCUUGACAUACUAUGUUGCAGUUGCGAAGAAUACCCUCGCACCCAUUCCAAGGUUUGUCGUCAGAGCUGGACGUCAAUUCCGGCGCCGAAUAAUUAUGGCGAUGGUCAACACAUGUCCAGUUGCCUUUCAUAUAUUUGGGAGUCCCUACUUUACAUGAAACUUUGCAUUCGCCGGAAGUUAUACUCUGUGGCCUCAUCCCACUAUUUGCGACUGAUAAACCUGCCCAUGCAAUGACAUACAUACAUGCAAACAUAUAAUUAGUGACAUUCAAAUAAUCUGUCGCUAUUGUAAAUUGUUCACAAAUACUAAUACUAAUAUUUUUAUAUAUAUAUUUAUGUUCGUUAAGAGAGACUAACCAGCAACAAGAAGCAAUAGGGCUGACACGAAAAGCAGCUUAAACGAGUACUUCCCCAUAUGUAUAUCUAUUGCCUAUUGGUGAUGUGAUUUAUAAGCAACUAUGCUAUCAGUUUUACUUAAUUUGCAAUGUUAUACUACUAUAUUAAGAAUGAGUAUGCUCUACCAAGAGGGGAAGAAACAUGAAUAUAUAUAGAGUAAAGGGCAUUAAUUAUUUAGAUUACAAAAACUAUCCAGAUUAUUAUCAAUUAAUGUCAGAUUACAAUAUUUUAUUUGGCAAUUAAUAUUGUCAGAUUAUAAAUAAUAUUGGCUGACCAUAUAAUAAAUAUUGGUUAACGUGUUCUCUAUAACAUUAAUAAAGGUUUUGCUAAAUACACAUUUGUUCAGUUAGCAUCAUUUUGUGCUAUAUAUGACAAUAUCACAAUCUCUUAUUUAAUCUUUAAAAAAAUAUUUUAUUUAUUAUUUUAAUAAAUUAUGGAAGUUUUCAUCUCCAAUAAUGUGAUAUCAGUAGAAAAUUGAUAUUUUCACAAGUAAAAAUAAUAGUUUCACAAAUUUUCUCUCACAUAAAUAAUUAAUGGGUUUCAUUGUGGAAAUAUCAGUUUUUACUUGUAAAAAUAACAAUUCCCUAUCAUUAAUUACUUGACUAUGUAUUGGUUAUGUCUUAAAUAUCAUUUGUCUUAUUUAAUGUUUUGCAGACAUAUUUGAAAAUAAAAAGCGAAUUAUUACUCUCAAGAAAAUUUUGAUAUUUUCAUAAGGUUUCUCUUAUACGAGCGUCGGUCACAUUUAUUAUUCAUGUGAAUGGAACCUACCUUAUAGAAAUAUCAAUUUUUCAUGUACAAAUAUUAAUUCCCAAAAAAAACACUUGAUACGGCCCCCUGCAUUAGUUUAUUUAUUUUAGGAUAGUCUAGUAAUUUUAUUGCGUAUGUUGUUAAAAAAAUAAUAAUAAAUAACUCUCUUAAGAUGGUUUUUCUAUAAAAAAAAAUCAAUAUAUAUUUAUUAGCUAAAUUGACCAUAAUUUGUCUCAUGUCAAUCUUUUUGGUAAUUUUGAACCUUUUUAAAUAUAAUUAUUAUCAAAUUCUCCCUUAGUGUUCUAUUCUUCAUUAUCCAAAUAAUCAUGAAAUGAUCUGGCAUUAGGAUGGGUAUAUAUGAUAUUAAUUACUGCAUUCGUUUAAGUUUAGAGACAGAAAAUAGAAGAUUAAGUUUAAACUUUUUAUAGUUAAAUUGAGAUCUUUUAAAUUAAAAAUUAAUGUAAUUCAUUUAAUUUUUGAAAAUAAUAUAAUUUGUAAUUAAUAGAACAAUUUAAAUAGUUUUCAUGAUUGUAUUAUCUAAUUUUAAAUGAAUUUAUAUCAAUUUAAAAUUUAAAAUAAUUUUAAAAAAUCGCUAUUAAUUCUACGAGGAAAAGAAAAUGAUCAAGGAAUAUUAUUGCAAUCAAGGAAUUCAAAUUUUUUUAAUUUAAAUUCUCUAAUACAUGUUAUUGAGCUCCCUCUCAUAUCAACAGUAAAUGAAUUCCAUAAUAAAUUUAUUGCAACAACACUACUCGGUCCUAAUACACAUCAGCUUACAUUCCGACAUUGCAACAUUACGGAGUAAUUUAUAAUUAGAUUAUGGAAAUUAAGUGAACGUAAAAAACGUUGUUUUCCAUCAUUUUAUUUAUUUUUUUAUUUUUCUAACCACUUAAAACUUCAAGACAAUUAGACCUGACCCAAACCCACGGGUCGCAUAACUCAUCCUCUAAAUUCAAGAGUUUGGACUUAAAUUAAUGUCACCGGGUCUUUUUGACUCCGUCCAUUUAAACCCAACCUGUGGGUGAUCCGAUCCAUUAGUUAAUAUUUAAUAUUAUUUUUACUUAAAAUUUCUCCCAUUAAUAUGCACUAAUAAGUUAACUCUCCAACUAUUUCAUCUUCUCUUUAUAAUUAACCAUCACUCCUUCCUAAUUCUUUUGUCGUUUUGCAACUAUCGGUACUAUUCAUUCUCCAUACAUAAAAAGGUUGACCUUAAGGGCACAUUUUAAGCACUGAAUUCAAAAUAUAAGACCCACUGAAAAAUAAUUUUAAAUAUGUAAAAUAAUAUUUCAAUAAGACCGUAUACAUUUAAAAUUAUAUUUCAAUGAACUUCAUCCCUUAAAUUUCGUGUUUAACACGUGUUAAGAAAAUCCCUUUUUCAUCGUUUUAUAACAAAUUGAGUUUUAUUGUAUAGAAAACUUGGAAGUAAUUUAUGUUUUAUUAUUCAAAAGAAGUUGAAAUAAUUUCCGUUGUAAAAAAUAAUAGGUUCUUUACAAUAAUAUACAAUAAUCACUAAAUAAUUACACUAUUAGUGGAUCUAUAAAAUAAUUAUAAAAAUAGUACAAUUCACAUUAAUAAAGAAACCUAAAAUCAAAAAGAAAUAAUUGUCAUAAUUAAUAAUUCAAAUUCAAAUAUUUGAGAUCUAACAACAAAAACAAAUUCAAAAUAAUAAUUCACCCAAACUAAUAUGAGCAUAGAUCAGAUAGCCCGUCAGUAAGUCCAAUAACCCAAACAAAACAAAUUACUUGUACAUCCGAAACCAUAAAAAUAAAAUUCGAUGUAUUACAAACUUUUCCUUUCUUAACGAAGAGAGAUCAUAACAUUCACCGCCAUUGUAAUCUGGUGCGAACCACAUCAAGUAGAAACCUUCAUCUUCGAAUAUUACAGUGGACUCGCAGAGAAAAUAUUAGUCAAGCUUCAGCAACUGGAUAGAGAAGCAUGGCUAUUUGAUUUUUCACAAUUUUUUCAUGUCCGAAAAUUCCAAUUCCAAUUUCGUGGUCAAAAGAAAAUAAGAACACUGUAUAUGAAAAAGAGAGAUAAGAGAGUGAUGUGUAAUGUAAUGUUAAUAACCAAACAUUCGUACCAAGGUAACCAAACUAUUAUACCAAGGUAACCAAUCUACCUCCACACAUGCAGUAUGAAUUGGUUACCUUGGUUUGAAAGUUUGGCAACCAACGGUAUGAAGGUUUGGCUACCAACUGCAAUAACAUUCAAAAUAAAUUGGUAAUUUAAUAAAACUGAAUUGGUUAUCUUGGUAUGAAGGUUUGGCUACCAACUGCACUAUAAAAAAACUACAGGUGUGGAUGUGGAUUGGUUACCUUGGUACGAAGAUUUUGUUACCUUGGUAUGAGGAUUGGUUAUCUUGGUAUAAAGGUUUGAUUACCAACAGCACUAUGAAAAAACUGCACCUGGAUGGAGUAAUUAAUAAAUGUCAUACACAUUUUUUUUAGUAAGUGGGCAUGCACCUAGCUUAAACCCAUAUAUAUAAAAACAGUAAAACCCCUAUUUAAGAAUAUUCUAUAUAAGAAUAACCUCUACAAUAUUAUAAAAAAAAAUGGUCCCAAUUUGGGCCAGUUAUAAAUAUGAAUAACUUCUAAAUUGUAAUAUGUUAUAUACUCCCUCCUAUUCAUAUUAAAUGUCUUUUUAGAGUUAAACACACUUUUUAAGAAAUAACACAAAAUAUCUUUUGUAUCCCUAAUUAAUUAUUUCUCUCUCCACAAUGGUCCAUGGAAUUGUAUUUACUAAACAUAUUAAAUAGAGGGGUAAAUUAAAAAAAAAUAGUGUAAUAUUACAUAGGGAUUCCAAAACAACACUUAUAUAGAAUAAAAUGAAACUCUAUAAAAAGAUAUUUAAUAUGAAUAGGAGGGAGUACUUUUUAAGUCUCGUAUUAAAAAAUUAUACCUCUAUAUAGUAAUAAUUUCAUAUAUAUAUAUAUAUAUAUAUAUAUAUAUAUAUAUAUAUAUAUAUAUAUAUAUAUAUAUAUACACAUAUAUAUAUAGAGAGAGAGACAAUAUUAAUUUUAAAAGACUAUAUUUUCUAUAAAAGACUACAUUUUCUAUAAAUAACUACAUUUUCCUAUAAAAUAUUAUAUUUUCCUAUAAAAGACUAUAUUUGCUAUAAAAGACCAUAUUUUCCUAUAAACAUUUUCUAUAAAAGACUACAUUUUCCUAGUUUGAAAAUCUAAAUAAUUUAUGUGAGUUCUUAUUGACAUUUUGUUAAUGUGAAUAUUUUUGGGUGUUCGAAAAAUAUUUUGUACCAAUACCGCUAUUUAGUAAUAACCUCUCAAUUAGAAUACAAAUAAUUUGGUCAUAAAUUUAUUCUUAAAUAGAGGUUUUACUAUAUAUAUAUAUUUAGAGAGAGAGAGUCAGGAUUAAGUGCAUACCACUUAUCUUACUCACUCGUGCUCACCCCCCUUUAGGCGACGAUUUCGGUUAUACAACCGUUGUCUAUACUUUUAACGACGGACAACAUAUAGCGUUGCUAAAAGUAUAAACGACGGUUGUAUGACAGAAACCGUCGCCUAAAGGGGGGUGAGCACGGGUGAGUAAGAUAAGAGGUAUACACUUGAUCCGGACCGUAUAUUAUAUAUAUAUAUAUAAAACAAAAUAUAAUUGAUUUUAAAUUUUCUGCUCACCUUAAUAAAUCAUCUGGGCCAACCAAAGUUUGAGAUAAAUCCUACUGUCCAUGUAGUGCCGGAGGCACGGGACGAAUCUAGAGUGAUUCUUUUAAAUAACACUCCCGCUUAAAUAUCAUUUCCUUAUUAAAACUAAUAUAUAUAUUAGAACGGAUGUAGAACACUCCUCUUAAAUAUCACUACCUCUUAAAUAUCACUCAUUAAUUUAUUAAAAUUACGUCGUUUUGGAGAUUCUUUUAAAAUACUCCAUACAAAAUAAUAAGUAUUAAAAUAUAGUGAUCCCACUUGUUUUUUUUUAUUUACAAAAAUAACACUCGCGACUCCACAUGUUUUUUUUUAAAAAUUUCAAAACAAUGUAGUUUUAAUAAAAUAGUGUUAUUUAAGAGAGAGUGAUAUUUAAAAGAAAUGCUUUUGAUCCGUUAUAUAUAUAUAUAUAUAUAUAUAUAUAUNNNNNNNNNNNNNNNNNNNNNNNNNNNNNNNNNNNNNNNNNNNNNNNNNNNNNNNNNNNNNNNNNNNNNNNNNNNNNNNNNNNNNNNNNNNNNNNNNNNNNNNNNNNNNNNNNNNNNNNNNNNNNNNNNNNNNNNNNNAUCGCCGCCGGAACCAAAACCGGACUGCAAAGAACCAGCACAGGGGUGGCUAGGGUCAGUGCGAUCACCGUUCCGACGAGGGUCAAGCCUGAGAGGACAAGAAAGGACCCAUCGGAACGGUGUUGUGCCGCGAUCAAAAAACAAUCAGUUGGGAGUUGUUGAUCUUGAUUACGAGGAUUCUGAUGAGAGAUGGACAAAUGGGAGUCAUUUUCUGUGUUGGACAUUGCUUUACUUUCAGUUAGAGAUACUGUGUGUUGAUGAAAGAAUCAAUGGAUGAGAGAGAGAAAAGGAUGAGGAAAACAGUGAGUUAGAUCUGUAAACAUUUUUGCCUUGUUUUGAUUUGGGGAGAUAGAAAAAAAGAGAAUAAAUUCACUAAUUAUGUAAAUAAAAAUUUUAAAUGCAUUAAUUAUGUAAAUAUUUUAUGAGUCCACUAUUGUUGUAAUUAUUAUAAUUAUUUUAAAAAAUAUACUAAAAAAAUAUAAUUAUCCCAUAAAAAAUAGGUGUUUUUAACCCAGCCCAAAAAACUCAUCCGAAAGUAUUACAACCAGCAUUAAAAUGAAAGUCAAGCUUAGAUAAUGAUAUUUUGGAUCCGAUUAUCAUAAAUUUAUUUAAUAAAAUAUUGACACGCAUUAAACUUCGUCUGCAUGUAAUUAAUCAAUUGAUUAAUUUACUCAAAAAUAAACUUUAUGCUAACAAUUUAUUUUUUAAUAAAUUGAUGAAUUAACAAAUAAAAUAUUGACACGCAUUAAACUUCGUCUAUAUGUACUUAAAAAUAAAUUUAUGCCGAUAUUUUUUGUUGGUAGGGUACUUUCUUUGUCAGUGGUAUUUUAUGUACCCUUUUUUUUUGGGUGAACAAUUGGAUAGAUUGUUUUGGCUUAUUUGAUUACUUUUAAUAAAUACCAUCAGAUCUUAGAAUGAAUACAAUACAUGGAACAAGUUAUUCAAAAAUAAAAAAUAAAUCUUGAUUUAUUUUUCUAGGUCUUGCCAAUUGACAUGGAUUAAUCAAAGGACAAUUUACAACAAGAAGAAAAAUGAUUUAGUGUAGCACCAUGCUCGUAAAGUCUGAAGGGUAAGUAUCCAACAGACCAUGUAUUUUGGUGCUUCAAAAUCCACACAAAAAAUUAAUAAAAAUUAUCAUAUUUAUUUAUAGGGGCUUCUUUUCAUUGCGGGUGAUUGAAGAAUUAGCAAAGCAAUCAGAGAACUUUGAAGACCAUAAUGGUACGAUAUGAACUCAACAUGGAGGUUCAGACAGAAAAAGCUCAUCAUUUUACUUUGCUAUUUUGUUUAGAUCUGGAUCUGAUUUCAAUUUCAAUUGGUUAAAAAGUAGAAGAGAUCAUUGUAGGUGUUUUGGCAAAUAAACAGAUGAUAUUAAACAAAAGAAAAGAAUACUGAGUUCAAUCGAAUCUUGUUUAUGCCAAAUAUAAAUUUUAAUUUAGCACCUUAAAAUACCAGAUCUCGAAUUUUCCUUUCAACUAUGCUUCAAGUUGAAAGGGGCUAUAUGGUGCAGCAGCAGCAGCAGGAUAGAGGAGGAGAGAGAAAAUAUAUACAUACAUACUAGGGAUUGAAGACUUUGGAGUUACCUACUAAGUACUUUUUUUAUAGAUAAA
rnacentral:lncRNA from 1 species